rnacentral:lncRNA from 1 species
AGACAUACAAGGUGCACUUCACUUGUCGAAUCAUACAGAUCUUGCAGACUUCGCAUUCUGAGUUGUGUAGGUUCAUCUUCAUUGUCAGAAUCAAGUUUUGUUGAAAUGUUUGGUGGUACAGCGACAGAUGAUUCUUCAACUUCGACAACAGCUUCUGUCGAACUGUUCCAGUCCCACUUACUUGCUUCGUUUAUUCGAUCGUCUCUACUCACUAUCACCUUCUUUCUUAUGGGAUCAAAUAGCUUGUACCCUUUUGUUUUCUCAUCAUACCCAAUGAGUAUGUAUUUCUGACAUUUGUCUUCAAGUUUCGUUCUUCGUUGAUCUGGUACGUGUGCAUAAGCUACACUUCCAAAUACUUUGAGAUGAGAAACUGUUGGCUUCUGUCCGCUCCACGCUUCUUGUGGUGUUUGAUCUUCUAACUUCGAAUGUGGACAUCGAUUCUGAACAUAAUGCCUUACAGUUCAUUGCCCAGUUCCUUUGAAAGAUGUUCUUGCUUUUAAGCCAUUGAACCGAACCAUGCCAAGAGGACUGUUCUAUUCUUCCUUUCCAGCCACCCCAUUUUGUUGGGGUGAGUAUGGCUGCCGUUUAGAAUCUCCUUAUACCCUGCUUUCACAUUACUCAUAAGGCUGUGCGAGUAUACUCACCACCUCUAUCUGACAUCGAACUGCUUUAUGUGUCUGUCGGUUUUCCUUCACCAUUUUUGACCCUUUUGGACACUCGAUGCCUUCGACUUUCUUUCAGAAUACAUGUCUUUGGUAAUCGUGAUGACCAUAAGUAUCUGUUUGUACUACUGAAGAUUUUGGCGUAAUUGCGCCCACAUAUGUCGGACUCCCUGUGAAUCAGUCCAGGUUAUGCUUAGCUUGAUAUUCUCCUUCCUUUGAAUGAAGGUCUUGUUUGUUUGCCUAAGCACACAUUCUUCACAGAACUUUCCUCAUAAUCCAUAUCUGUAGUCCAUGCACCAUGUUCUUUUUCGCCACCUUUUUUAACCAGUGUUGAUGUAGAUGACCAAGCGUACGUGCCAUAAGUGACGCUUUGUCUUCGACAUUACUUGUAACAUUUUUCUUCGAACGUUAUCAGAUUUUCAGUUGUACAUGUCGAUUUCUCUCAUUUCGCCCGAGCAAUCAGAUGUCUCGACGCAGUUGCUCCUUCAAAUGCCAAUAUUCGUUCAUUUCAUAAGUAUCGAUAACCUUUGUUCUGUAAGUUGUCACCAACUCAAAGAUGUUGGUUUUAAGAUUAUGGUAGCAAUAAGAUUCGUCUGAAUUGAAUCCAUCUAACCCAUCGUUCUGCAAGUACUGGUAGUCUCCCUUUGCCUUCGGACCUUCACUUUCGAUGCAUCUCCGAAAGACACUUUCCAUCUUCAAUCUUUCUCAUUUCUUUAAACAAGUGUUUUGUGACCACACAUAUGGUACUUGCUCCUGAGUCAAGUACCAAACAUUGUCAUUUGAGUUGAUCUCACUUUGAGCAUCAAGAGAAACCUUUCAUUUGCUUCAGCUUCCAAAGUUAGAUUGGUUGUUUCUUCUACUUCUUUUCGAUUCGAUAAUCUUUUGCAAGAGUCCCAUUUUAUCACAGUUAUAGCAUUUGAAUGAGUUACAUCCUCGCAUAGAUGACCAUACUUGCCACACUUGUAGCAUUCAAAGUUGGAAUGGUUCGACCUACCACCUCUUUGACCACGUCCUCUGCCACGCCAAUUUUGUUGGCUCGACUGUCCUCUCUCGAAGUUGCUGCCUCUACCACUUCGACCACUGUCACGUCCUCCACGACCACGUCCUCUUCCUUGAAAAUUUUGAGAAAAGAGUACCUUUUCGUCUUUGAUUUGCUCCUUGGUUUGAUUUGCGUCCUCUACUCCUUCUUCCUUCUUUUUCAUCUUACGUUGUUCAUGUGCUUUGAGGGAACCAACGAGCUCUUCGACUGAGAGUGUCGAAAGAUCCUUCGACUCUUCUAUUGCACAUACAAUAUUCUCAAAUUUAUCUGUUAAAGAUCUCAAAAUCUUUUCAACAACUCGUGCAUCAGUUACUGUUUCGCCAUUUCUGGUGAGUUGGUUCAUCACCUUUUGUACACGCGUGAUGUAGUCAGAUACAUUUUCUGACUCCUUCAUUUGCAUCCUCUCCAAUUCGCCACGAAGUGUUUGGAGUCGAACUUGCUUUACUCGAUCUGCUCCUUUGAACACUUUCUACGCGUGAUGUAGUCAGAUACAUUUUCUGACUCCUUCAUUUGCAUCCUCUCCAAUUCGCCACGAAGUGUUUGGAGUCGAACUUGCUUUACUCGAUCUGCUCCUUUGAACACUUUCUCUAGCGUGUCUCGCGCUUCUUUCGACGUAGUCGAACCGGCAAUCUUUUCGAAGCCUGAUUCAUCAACAGCCCUAAACAGCAUGUAUAGUGCCGUUUUAUCCUUCGAUCGCGUCUCUUUCAACGCCUUGUUUUUAGCUGUCGUAUAUCCCUCAAUAUCUGUCGGUUCUUCAAACCCAUCUUUGGUCACCUCCCACGCGUCUAGAGAUCCGAGAAGAGUUUUCAUUUGGAUACUCCAGUUUUCGUAAUUUAACUUCGUUAGCCGUGGCAACGGCAUUUGAUUCAUCAUGUUUGCCAUUAACUCUAAUGCCAAUUUGUCCGAAGAAAACGAGUUUUUGUAAACUUCUGUUUUUCAUUAGAGUACAUGUUUGGUUUUUAUAUAGACUCAGAAACUUUAGCUAUUCUAAGAAACAUAAUAAUUAGUAAAUACUAUUAAUUUGGCCACUGUCUCUUGACCUUCCAAAUCUCUCCAUUAACUUAUUAAUAAAACCUAUUAACUAUGACAUUAAAGUUUAUUCAAUAAUAAAUGUGUUUUUUUUUUCUAUGACGAGGUUUUCAACUUAACAGUUACUUUUAAUUGCGAUUGUAUCAAGCAUUAAAGUUAUGUUUCAAAAAAUAUAACUAUGAAUGCAUGAUUUUGGAACUAAAUUUCUCAUUUUGUAAUGCUUACUUGCCAAAGAAAAGUUGUUCUACCGUUGUAUGAUUCUAGCUUAUCAUGUAGCAAUUGCAAAAUUUAGUUUUAUUAGUGGCUUCCAAAUAAAAAAUGUCAUAUUAAUAACUUCUUCUUUUUUUAUGGUAGAGUUAUAGCUAUAGUUACAAUGUCAUGUAAUUUUAUAGUAUUUUUCUAAAAUUAAAAGUUCACAAUCUAUUGAAAUCUUCCCUAUAGUAGAUAUAUAAAAAGACGUGAUCUUAUUAUGUUUAUUCAAUGAAUUGAGAAGAAAAUUAGAUUGAUUUCUAACCGGUUUUGACAAGCAAUAUUGUUUUAAACAUCUCAAAUGAAAGUGAACUGUCAAUGAUAUACUGUCCAUUUGGUGUUGUUAUUACUUUGAUGUAGGAUGCAAAUGAUGAAGACAUAGGACAAAUCAAUUAAAGAGAGAAAAAAAAACAAAAAUUCUCAUAAUGAUCACAUAUGAAAAAUGUGAAUCAAGUCAAAUAAAAUUCCUUCAGGUAAAUAUUCUCAUUACAUCACAAUGACUUGAAAAAGGAGAAAAUCAACAACAUAAGCUUAAUUUCAUAGACAUAUAUAUACCCAGAAAAGUAUUCCCUACUAAAAAAAUUUAAUAUCACUGAUAACAAGAUGUGUUCUUCUAUAGAUAUCAGAUUAUGGCCUCCUUGAAGGUUGUAAUGUAAUUCAUCAUAUCUUUUGCUCCAUAAGAGAAAAAAACCUCACAAAGUUGUAUAAUGAGUUUAACAUCUUAGUCCAGCGUCGCCACUGUAUGUUCAAUCAACGUUUCUUCAACUUAGUCAUGUAUUAGAUCUAGGAUGUUUAUUCAACUUCGUAGCUUAUAAGCAACGUUAUACAUCUUAGUCCAGCGUCGCCACUGUAUGUUCAAUCAACGUUUCUUCAACUUAGUCAUGUAUUAGAUCUAGGAUGUUUAUUCAACUUCGUAGCUUAUAAGCAACGUUAAAAAUGCCAAGUGUUGGCUAGUUGCAUACAAUUUUGCUACGCGUUGACAGAACAUGUGAAGUAUAACAAUAGGGAGGGAGAACAUUAGAGAUUAGUGACAUAUUAUCUGCGUUCAAAACAAAAAACAUCUACAUAUCUAAUGGUGGUUCACUAAGUGCAGUAUUUUGAACUGAAGAUGGUUCAGUGGCUGCAUACUCAUCAUCAUUAGCAAACAUAUCAAAAUCAUCAGCACCAGCCAAAGGUGGAUUUGUAGUGUGCGUGGGUGUGCCUUCUCUUCUUGCUCUGGCUAAUUUUUCAUAUCCUUCUGAAAAAGAGAGACUGUAAAAGGCAUAAGCAUUAGCAAUUAGUGCUCCUACAAAAACAGGUGCCGUUCCUUGUAAAGCUAUAUGUCGAUAUCAUAAUUAAUGAACAUGCCCAUGAUAUGAACAUAUGUAGAAACAUGGUUCAAAAAAUAGUUAUAUUGUUAUCAUAAACUAUAAUGAUAUGGCAUCAUAUUUCAUUUCAAAACAUGGCCAUAAUAUGAACAUAUGUAGAAAAUAUGUUAUUAGGUUAUCUUAUGAGUAGAAAAUAUUAUUAGUAUAAGUAAGAGUAUAACAUCUUACACUUUACAAUCUUCCUUUUUCUCAAUAACUAUCAGUAUGCUUACAUACUUCAUCAGAAGAAGUAAGACAACAGUAGUACCAAACGUGCAAUCAAAACAAACCCUAAAUUCAGUACCAAUCCUGAAACAAAACAAACCCUAAACUCAAGAUUAUAUCUUUCGUCUCGUGAAUUACUUUUCUCUUUCUCAUAAAACUGAACGAAAAUACCAUACGGCUUUGCGCGACACAUCUAAAUUUAAAGAUCGGAAAGUGGAGCGUCGAUUUUGGUUUCAGCAAGUGCUUCAUUGGUUUUCUUAUUGUUCGCAUCUUUGUCGUUGGAGAUUGAAUCUGAUAGGGGUUUGGGUGAGGUGGUAUGUAGGGUUUCGAGAGGGUUUUCCUCAGUUGGUUUGGCGAUGGUAGUGGUAGAUCGAUUGGAAAGAUAAACAUCGGUGGAGGUGAUAAUAUGGCCUUGAUUCAGUUCUAUAUGAAAAGGGAAACAUUUUAAUAUUAGAAGGAGAAUAGAGAAAGAAAGAAGGAGAUGAUUAUGAUGGUGGAGAGAGAGACUAACUUAUGGUUUCUUUUCUUCUCCUUUUGUUAAAAUUUCAAAAUUUAGAUAGACGGUUAAAAAACAAAAGAGAAAAAAAAAAGCAUGUGAGAUUUUACAUGUCCAACUGUCAUACCUCAAUUUUGCCCCUAAAAUAAUAAAUUCAUUCAUUCACAAGACAUAUGCAUCAUCUGCUUAUCAUGACAUGCAUUUCUUUAAGCAUAACAUCUAAAAAGUCAACCCGAAUAAAAUUUUAUUUUUAUAGACAAACAGUUUAAAUCGAUUUUCAAUUGCACAUAAAAUUAGUGGGCGAAAAAUUCAAGAUCGGGCUUGCAGUUGUUUGUUUUAUUGAUCUAAGGUUCGCGUAGUUCAACCUGGUGCAUGGUCGCAUUUUAAUCAGUCUAAACCUUUUCAACUAGAUACCGUUUAUUGCAAGAUUUGAUCCACGUCUGUCUGUUUUCCAGAAUUUUAUUUUGCGUAGAUCAUUUUAACACGUUUAUUUUAUUUUUUGUGCAUUUUCGCGCUCAAUUUUUAUUCAUUUUAAUUCCUUCUAUUUUUGUUUUUUAUCAAAAUAUCAAGAAAAAAUAAAUAGAAAUAAAGAAAUAAUCACUUGAUUUUUAUUUGUUUUUAUUAAAAAAAGAAUUUUAUUUCAUUUAUUCUUUGAUCUUAUCUUUGAUCACCCAAAUAAAUAUCUAGGGGUAUUUUUGACCAAAUUGAGAAUUGAAACCCUAAAUUAUUUACUAUAUAAUAACUUGUCUUGGCCAAUGCAUACACACGAAAACUUAGACCUAGCAGUGCAUUACACUAACAGAUUCUCUCUCAAUUUGGAAAAAAAAAAGCCACCAUUUUCCAAUUACUUCUCUCUCUCUCUCUCUCUCAAAAAAUCAAAGAACAUUUAAAACAAAAGGGAGGAGGGCGUUGAAACAGGGAGAAUGAGUUUCCUUCUCAUGCAUUGAAUCUCAUCACCACACACUCUUCAUUCUUCCACACAAACGAAAGAGAGAGAAAGAAAGCACAAACGAAAAAGAAAGAGAGUGUUGAUGAGAGUCCUUUUUCUUUCCUUUUUCGUUUUUCAUGCAUGUGGUGGUGUCUUUUGUUUUGAUUAUUUUAUGUUUUUUUAUUUUUAUAAAGUCAUACCAUGUGUCUAAUGAUGAUAGGUUGCUAUUAAAAAUAAAAAUAAAAAAGCAUAAGUUAAUGAAGUAAAUGGGGCGCCGCCCCCUUAUAUGCAGCACCAUCUUUUUUUUUCUUUUUUUCUUUUUAUUUUAAUAUUAUUUAGGGUUUAAUUUUAUGUGGAUUGGAUCCAAUUUCUCUCGGAUGUUUUCACCCCUUGCUCAUUCCCUUCUGCACCCUUUUUCAUUCUUUCUUUCUUGAUUAAUUAAUUUAUUUAUAUUAGUAAUUAACUAAUUGAUUAAAUGUUUAUUUGAUUAGAUUUUAUUAAUAAGUGGAUUAUUUGAUUAAUUAUUUAAUUGAUCUCAUUGUGUUAAGUCGAUUAAUUAGGUAAUCCACGUUCAUACCACCGCAUAUGUAAAUAAUCGCACUCAAUAUUUUGCACAAUUUCAUUUUCCAACCAUUUCAAAAACAUUUCCAAAAACAAAUACAAGUCAUUUCAUUUAUUCGCUUUGAAAAUAAAAACGUUUGACCCAACAUCAAGUUAUUUUCUCAAAUAAAAAUAAAAAAUGGCUAACUUAAUUACUUUGACUAUUCUCAACAAUAAUGAGAGAAAAGGACUACUUGGGUGUAAUGUUCGAUCAUAGUCUCGAGUAUUAGACCCAAGCCAUAAUAGCUUGCAAUUCAAGAUACUUGUCUUCCUCCAAAAAUUCAAAACGCAUUUUCUUAUUCGCAAUAAAAUGGAUUAAAAAUACUACUUAAGUGUAAUGUCCAACCAUAGUCGAGAGUAUUUAGACUCAAGUUGUAAUAUCUUGCAAGUUUGAAUACUCGUCUUCCACCCAAAAACAAUCAAACUCGUCCAAACUUUUGCCUUUUGGCUUCAAACCCUCCAACUUUUUCCAAACUUUUGCCUUUUGGCUUCAAAAUCUCAAACUCUUUUUUUAAACGAAAGAUGUUUUGUCUCGAGACGAUACAAAACAACACCUCGUCACUAAUACAUGUGAGUGAGCUAAUCGACAUUUUGCUGCGAAUGUUGAUUUAUUAAUUCAUUAUGUUGUAUUCAAAAUGCUUCAUCCUCUAACUAUUUUGGCUAAGCAAUGUUUUCCGUUUGAUUGCGACAAAAUAGCUUUCUCUAAAAUCGACCCACAAACAAACAUUUUUUACCCAGAACUACAUAGUCUUUAGUUAUCCAUCACACUUGGAAAUACGUAGGAGCAAGAUUCAAAGUCUCGUCAGUUACCCUAAUAAAAAAAUCUUUUUUAGUCAUUUCCCUUUUUUCUCUCAAACCUUUUAAUAACUCGAGGAAAGAAAACAUUUUUUUUAAAUUAACACUUAUCACAAAACUAACUAAAUCGUUCUCGUUGAGUACAAGAGAUAUAAGGGGUGUUAAUAUUUUCCCCUUGCAUAAUCGACUCCUGAAUUCGAUUUGGUUGCGACGAUCAUAUCAUUGUCAUAUUUUAUGGAUUUUAUCGAUAUUUUAUCUUUUCUUAUUUUAGAAUAAAUAAAGUUCGGUGGCGACUAUUUUUAUCACCGCGUGCGUGUGAUGUGCUCGUGGUCGUCUUUUUCGUGUUGCGACAACAGCAAAACAAAAGUUAACGUUUUUUUCAGAAAAAACAAACGGCAUGAAUCAUUUCAGAUAACAUAAUUAUUUUUAAGGGACUAUUUUGUAACGCUUUUUAGUUAAGGGAACAAAGUGAAACAAUAAAUUAAACUAAGGGAUCAAAAUAUGCAUUAGACCAAUUUUUUUAUUUCUAUGAUAAUAAAACAAGUGAAAUGGUUCUCAUGGCAAAACGUGAGUUAUGAGCAUAAUGUUUAAUUUUAUUUAAGAGUAUUAUUCAUUACAUUUCAAGUUUUCUAAAAAUACUAUUUUAUUUUGUAUAAAACUUAUUUUCAAAUGUCAAAAAUACUAUUACAUUUCAACGUUCUUAUUUUUAAAUGUCAAAAAAAAAAUUCUCUAUCUCACAUGUCCUUUUUUCUUCUUCUUUUUUGUAUAAUUAUUUAAUACAAUUGAGUUUAUAUGAUUAUUAUUCAUUUUACAUUAAACGUAUAUCUAAAUAUAUUUUAUACUAUAUCAAAUUAAUUUAUCUAUGAAAGUUUGAGCUAUGUCUUUAAUAAAGGAUCCAUGAAAGUGAAGUAUGCAGGCGAGCUUACAAUUUUAGAAGUGAGAUUUUGGUCAAGAAAUUUAGUUUCACUAUCUAAUCUCUUAUAUAUUUUGCGAAAUCUCAUUUCUAAGCUUCAUUAUGAUCUCUAAUUAAGCCUCCACACUCUACUUGUCCGUCUCUUUUAAUUGUCUUAUUUGUGUUAAGUCUGAUCCAUUCAUAAUUUGGAGGAGUCCAUCUAAUUUAGUGAGUUUCAUGGUGUCUAUUGUUGACCUUGUCGUAAAAGCUUAUGCUCAUGUGAUAAUUUCUCACCUUCUCUCCCUUAUAUCUUCUACGAGAUUUAAUGGAGAAAUAUAAUUCUCUACAUGCUCCAAAUUUAAUGGAGAAAUAUAAUUCUCUACAUGCUCCAUUUGAUUCCUUCAAAAUUAAAUGGUGUGACGCAAGGUUCCGCAUACAAUUUGCCAAUCUUCCUUAUCACUCCUACUUAAGUUGUUCUACACAUUAAAAAUCAAUUCAAUACCGCGAGUCAAGGUUAAAGAAUAAUUCACAAUAAUCAUCUCCACUACUACAAAAAAACAUAUUUAAUUUUGGACGCCGAGUUGAUUUAACCUCAGUUACAGAGGCGAGGUAGCGAAGGGCGUCAUAAAAAUUCUCCAAUAUACCCCUCGGUUUUAGAAUAACUUAGGGAAUGGUUUAAAUGGUCAUUGGUUUGAUCACCAAUAAUAAUUUUUUUAUAUUUUCAAAACUAACGUCACAUACCUCUCGAUUUAUGACCAAAAUCGAAGGAAAAAUAUAUUCUUUUUUUUAAUACUCAUUAUAUUGUUUACAGAAAAUAUUAAUAAAUUAAUUUAUUACAAACUAUAUUGUUUACACGGAAUAUUACAUUGUUUACACAGAAUACUAAAUUAAAAAUAUAUAAUAAUUUUUGAAUCUGAUUCAUCGUUAUUGUUAUCGGUGAAGAGCAAAUAUUGGAUCUUGGGGAAGAACAGAUGUUGGACCUCGUUUCAUUGAAUUUUAGGAAAGAUCAAAUGUUGAAUAUUUCAUGUAUUUGUUUUUGAUAUAAAACAAAAAAUUGGUUAGAUAUAUAAAAUAAAUAUUCAGUUAUAUUAUUAUUUAAGAACACAAACAUUGAACCCAAAUAAUUUUCUACUCUUGUAAUCCAUCAUAGAGAGUUUUUCCAAACUUCUUUUAGUUUCAAAGCUUUCAUGUCAAAUGUUUCAUUAUCAAUUUUUAAUAUUCAUAAUGUGAAGGUGAGAAAAACAAGAAAGGGGGGGUUUGAAUUGUUUUGAAAAAUAAGCGUUUUUCAAAAUGAAAAAUCACACAAGGAUUUUAUACUGGUUCGCUUAUAACACAAAGCUACUCCAGUCCACCCGGCCAGAGGUGAUUUCGCCUUCAACAAGCUUAAUCCACUAAUCUUGAAAGAUUAACAAACAACGUCUUAAGAAUAAAAAAUCUCUUAGCCCUCUCAAGUAUACAGACUACACAGAGUCACUUGAGGAAAUCAACAAACAAUAGAUGAAAGAUAUUAUACACUAGAGUGCUUCUAAGAAAGCAAAAUAUAACAAUAGUAUGAACAAGUGAUUCACGUUAAAGCAAAAGCUUCGUGAAGAUUUAGAGAGCAGAAGGUUUCUUGUGUUGAUGUUUCAGUAUGAUUUUUUUCUUGUACGUGUGUUACUGAAAUGUUGAUUUGCAAUCCUUUAUAUAGAUCAAUGAGGUAGUAGUUGAAACUGAUGAGUAAUAAGAUGAAUUUACGCCAUAACAUAACAGCUUCUGCAGAUAAACUUUUUCUCCUUGAAAUGACUACUUACCACAAGUAGUAUUUUCUUUAUUGAAUUGGAGAUUAACGUCUCUUUCUCAAUUAGGAAAUCAUUUGCAAAUCUUUACUUGACUUUAACGUUACUCUUUCAUGAUUAGCAAUUCCAUGCUCAGAGUAUUGUGUUUCUGGAGAGUCUUGGAAUCUUGUAUCUGAUGUUGAUCUCUUGUGAGUUCAGAUAGCGCUGAGAACUUCUGGAGCUUAGAGAUAGCGUUGUUCAGAGUCAGAACAUCUAGAGUUUACUUCUUGUUCAGAUGCUUCUGAUACUUUGCUGUUCUUGCUCAGAGUUAGACUUUCUUGAACGUGUCUCCCACUUCAGAUGCUUCUUAUCUUCUGAUAAUUUGUAUCUGAUCUGGUUCUGUAUCUGAUGACAUCAAUCAGAUUUCUUCCUUCUUUCUUUAGAAUCCUGCACACUUAGAAACUUUUCGUUAGGGUGCCAUUUUUGGUUUCAUCCUUUGUUAUCAUCAAAAUCAAGGAAUCUGUUGUAGAACAAUUUUUGUUCUUACAUAAUGAUUUUAUAAUGUCUUUAGGUUUCAUGUGGAUCAUUAAUGGAGAUGUUUGAUCGUUGAUACUCAUUAAAUAGACGACAAAGAUUUGUUUAAGGACGGUGAAGAAACUCAAUAAACAUGUUUAUAUUCCACUCGGUUAUUACUCAAAAUAGAGGUAAAAUGUGUUUCCUUUUAAAUGAAAAUAUAAUAAAAUAUGUUUUAUCUCAAGCGUCACAUAUCUCUCGAUUUCUAUUAAAAGCCGAGGGGAGUAAGUUUUUUUUUUAAAUUACAUUAUUUAUACAGAACAUUAAAAUACAUAGAUUAAAAAAAUCCAGAUUUUGACACUGGAUUCUUGGAGAACAACAAAUAUUUUCAAGUUAUUCUUGGAGAACAACAAAUAUUUGUUGUUCUCAAGAUUUGAUUGUAUACCCUUUGUGCGCUUUCUUUUCAAGUUCAAUUGAUUGUAUGCAUCCAAUUUCUGAUAAAUUAUCUUUUUCAACCAUGAGAAAAAAAAUUAUGCACUUACAAUCAACCAUGGAGAUCUGUUCAAAGAUUUUAUUAUCUUAAAUAAAUAUUAUCAUGGCAAAUGCUUUCACACAAAAAAGAACAAGAUACAUAGUGGUGGAUGUAGAGAGUUUCUUAUGGAUUAAUGUGUUGUCAAUAUCUUGAAUGUUGUUAAAAUAAAAACUUUCUCCUCGAUUUUAUUAAAAAAUUAAGGUAAUAUAUUACUUACAAAAAAUAGAAAGUAACAUGUCUUGUUUCCUUUUUAAUUUUUAUAUCAUCCACCAUUUUUUAUACUGCAAAUUGCUUGCAACUUAUGGUAUGUUUAGGAAAGUAAUAAAUUACGGAGUAUUUUUGUAUUGAUAACAUAGGAAGGUUAUUCCAAAAGUACAACAACAACAUCGACAUCAUUAUGUGAGACAAAUUACAAGGGUAGAAAAAAUAUUUUGUUCAAGAUAGAAAAAUAUUGAAGAUUUUUUCUGUCUUGCGAUGCAUCCCAAAUAAUGAAGCGUACUAGUUUGGAGCGACUACAUAUAAGUUAGAUUUAUGGUAAAAUCUGAUUAGUUAGUGUUUUUAUAGUAAAAUCUGAUAUAUAUAGUCUCUUGAUUUUUACAGAAAUCAAAGAUUAGAUUAUUAAUUUAAAAAUAAAAAAUAAAAGAAAAAUAAAUACACCACUUUUAAAGAAAUAAAAACAUAAACUGCAUUCGCUGAAAUUCAAAGCAUAUCUUAAAUUAUUUUUUUCUUCGGGUAUAUUUAAAAAAAAUGAAGAAAUAUGUGAUAUUUAUGUUUUAAAAAAAUAAAAUAUAGUAUACAUUGGUAUUAUACCUCAGUUUUUUAUUGAAUAAGACAAAAUCUUUAUUAUAAAAUAUAUUAUUUAUAAUAGUGCUUUCACGAGUGUUAUCCAAACAUGCCUAACAAUUUUAGUCACUCAGGGCAUUAGAUGUGGUUUCCACCGGACCGUCACAAUUCGUGCAUCAUGGCUUUUUAAAAUUCAGUUGAUGUAACAAUUGAUUGGUUUUAUACUAUUAUGUUUCACCAUCCAAACCAACAUUCAAAUUCUUUCUUCCACACUCAGUUUUCAGAUUCUAUUCUAAUGGUCACAAUGUAUACUACUCAUAGAAUUGCUAACUAUAUCAAAAGCACUAGUUACUGUGAACUUACCAUUACUAUUAUCUCCCAAAGACUCACAUCAACACCUAUUCACGGCCUUGGAGGAUGGAUAGCUUUCACUUUUUCUAACAUCUCUUAAGUAAGGAACCUUCUAAGCCAACCCAGAUUCCAAUCUCCAUUGCUAUCAACCAACUCAUAGAGUUUCAUAUUUUCUGCAACAUCAAGAGGGAAAUAUAUCUUACUUGACAAGACGAUAUCUCCUUAUCUCAAGCCUUUCCGAGUGACAAAAUAGUCAUCUUUUUCUCCAUUUUGUAAGACACUGAUUUUAUUUGAUAAAAUAUAUGCCAUAAUCACAUUCUGAAGAUGAAUUUUUUGAAGACAUUUGAGAAGCACAAUAUGUUACCAUUUUUUACUUUUAAUAAAAAUUUUAAUCAAGACCAUGUGAAAGAUUUCUAUUGCAAUUUAAAAUGCGCGACUUCCAAAUUAUAGUGUCAGUUCAAUAGAAGAUUGGUUAAGUUCUCUUUCGCUGAUUUUGCUAAAGUUCUCGGUCUAAAGAAAAAAUGUGUUGAGGUUAAUCCUUCAAACCAUGCUCGUGAGUCUAUCUCCAAAUUUCUGUUCAAUGAUCAUUUGGACAUUAUAAAUUUCCAUAUAAGCCAAAUGAAGUGUGAUAUUAGGAUGCUUCACUAGCUAACUAACUGUGAAGAUUUUGUAUCGCAAGGCAAGAAAUUAGGCUAGGGUUGAUGAUAAAAACUUAUUCUAGAUGUGUACUUUGCUCACCCACUCAGAGGUGAAUUGGGUAAAGUUCAUCAUUGACCAGAUAAUUAUUUGUAAAAACAACAAGAAUCGGCAUCCAUCAAAUAUUUGAAAGGAAUUGUGUCGUGUUUAUUGUAUGACAUUGUUGUAGGUCCAAAUUAUUUGAUGAUCUUGUUGUGAAGCUGAUGCAUUAUCAUCAGGAUGACAAAGGAGAGUACUAUUAUCAAGAUGCCUUUUGCAUGAUCUAUGAAUACGUGUUCUUAACUCGUAAAGAAGCUCUUAAAGUUUUUGUGUCAUGGAAGGCAACUGCAUCAUCUUUUGUUGUCCCUCUUUCUGUGGUUUUACUCUGGAAGUCAAUGCUUAGUUUGAUGUUUGUGUUAACACCAUUACAAAAAGUAUAUCCAACUCCAACUUUAUUACGGUCUUUUCUUAAAUUUAGGCGUUCAUAAAUUAUUUUAUUUUUUAAUUAAAAAUUGUAAACUUAUUAUCAGGGUUGUUUAGAAAUAUUGUGGUGAUGUCACAUAUUUUUUUGGAUUUGAUUUUCAAUUCCGUCAAAUUUGUGAUUUCUUCGUUAUUUUAGUUGCGUCUUCCAUUUUUAUAUAUUUUUAGAUAAAAAAUAAAAGUGAUAUCGCUACGGUUAUUUACUUGUUGUGAUAUAAUUUUAAAUUUUUUUAAUUUUUAAAUACUUAAAAUCUGUCGCUUUUUUAUAUAAUUACAUUAACGUAAAAAAUAAAUAACCACGGUUUUUUAAACUAAUCGUUGUGGUACAUUUUCAAUUUUUUAAAAAAAUUUAAAUGCUUAAAAUCUUGCGCUUUUUUAUAAAAUUACAUUAAGUUAGUCAUGUAUCACAAUGGUUGUUUUAAACAACCGUGGUGGAAUGGCUUAUUCACCUAAAGAAAACACAGCUAGCUAGCUAGCUAGCUUGCUUGUCUCUUCGGUUGUGUCGCAACUGGUGCGAAAAAACAACCGACGAAAAAAAUGAAAACAGAAGAGUCGCCAUCGUUCGUUAUUUAUCCCAAAGGAAGGGAAAGGAAACGAUCGAAGAAAACCUGAAGAGAAGGAAAAGACAAGGUCUCGCAACCAAAUCUAGGGUUCGGGAGUCGAUUAUACGAAGGGAAGGUAUUAGCACCCCUACGCAUCCGUAGUACUCUAAGGAAAAGACAAGGUCUCGCAACCAAAUCUAGGGUUCGGGAGUCGAUUAUACGAAGGGAAGGUAUUAGCACCCCUACGCAUCCGUAGUACUCUACGGGAUCCACUCUUGUUGUUCUAGUCUAAAGGGUGUAGGUAUAUCUAAAGUACUAUCUACUAAAAGAAGGUUAAAAGAAAAUGACUCGCAAGGAUAUCGCAUCCACUGCCUACGUAUCUCAUCUGAAUAUGAGAAACAGAGUCUUCGUAGCUCGACUACCUAUGGGUUAAAGAGAAGUGUGCUCAGUAAGACAUCGUGUCUUAUGCCUACGUAUCUCUUCUAGAAUGAGAAUCAGAGCAAAACGUAGUUCAGCUAACUACGGGGAACAAGGGUCUCGAUUGCAACUAGGGCAAGAGAAAGGGAAGGUCUCGAUCGCAACGAGGGCGAGAGAAAAGAAUCGCAACGAGGGCGAAAGCAAACAAGGAUUAGUUGUUAUUCGUCAAUCAAACUCGGCAAGACAUCGCGUCUCGUGCCUACGAAUCUCAUCUGGACAUGAGAAUCAGAGUUGUCGUAGUUCGACUAAUUACGGGUUAAGGAUUGCCAUCUGAACAUGGACUUACAAAAGAGGACACCAUCUGUGUCAAAGGAAAGUGGGCAAUGUGUUCAACGUCCUAGUAGUAGGUGUCGCAGCUCGCUGAAUCGAGUCUUAGGCAGUUACCUCUUUGCAAUAGAACGGACUGACAUGCCACAAGAUCGGAGACGCACGGAAGGUCUAAAAGUGGGGAUAUCGAGCUUUUGAUCUUGUUUUGAAAUGAUUAUCGGAUGUUCGUUUUAAUUCUUGUAUUAACAGAUGAAUAAAGAAUGAAAGAAUAAAUAUUAUACACUUUAUGGGAGAGGGGUACAUUUGUUAUGAUUUUUUUAGGGGAUUGUUCAUGGCAAUCAAACAAUAAGAAUAUAUGCCUCAUACAUCAUACAAGUAGGCAACAGUUAUCAAUCAAAUCAGAUAAGUAAACAAGUAUGUAAUUGAAUCAAAGAAUCAAAGAAAGGAAUAACGGAGCAUUAAACAAUGCAUGGGAAGUAUGAACAUGUUAAACCACCAAGCAAUAUUAAGCAUGGAUGAAAGAAACAAGUGUAAGAGUUAACAGAUGAAUCAGACAGAUGCAAAGAUGCACACAAGGGGUCCACUGAGUAAUUUAAUCAGGAAAUGAGGUAAGGAUCAAAUAAAAUCAAGAUGAAAGGCCUCUAAUACAUGGCAUAUGAGAUGAACAAGGGAGGAUCAAAAGAUCUCUUCAAUUGCCAUAAGCAAUCCCUAAGUCUAAGGCCUCUAAUACAUGGCAUAUGAGAUGAACAAGGGAGGAUCAAAAGAUCUCUUCAAUUGCCAUAAGCAAUCCCUAAGUCAAACAUCGAUCAUAAAGAAGUCAACUGAAAAUUCAAGUCAACUUGAUAAUUAUCAAAUAAAUAGUAAAUUAAUCAAGAAAAUUAUGAAAAGUUAAACUAAGUAAGGUGGGGUCAGGACAUCAUCAUCCCCCAACAAGAUUUUAAAAAUAAUGAAAAUUGGUUCAUAAAUUAAUUGAAAUAAAAUAAAGAUCAAAACAAAAGUCAAUCCACAAGACUAGGUUAAAAAUAAAUCAAGAAUAAAUUGAAAAUGGGAAAUAAAAUUCUAAUAAAAUGUCAGGUUGACCAUGGGACAUUGGUCAACCUUCAUCCCAAAAAUCAAAAGCUAAAAAGAAUUUUAAGUCAUGAAAAUAAAAAUCAAGAAAAAAAAUGUGUUAAAAUGAACCACUUGAAAUAAAUAAUUAAAAUAAAAUAUUAAUACUAAUUAAAUACGAAAAUAAAAAUUAAAUAAAAUUAAAUAAGAUAUUAAUAAAUGUGAAAAUUAUUUUUUGGGAUUUUUAUGAAUAAAUAAAAUAUUUUAAAAUAAUUAAAAUCAAAACAGAAAAAUAGAUGUGAAUUAAAAAAGAAAAUAAAAGUGGACAUGUGUUAGUGUUAAUGGGCCCUGAAAGGGAGGUGUGGAAAGCAACGGGCGCAAGGCCCAUGGUCCAAAUCCAAUAUUCAAGCGUGACACACUAAAAUGUACAUUUUAUAUUAAAAGUUCAUGUCAACAUGGUAUCAAUUGGGCAAGGCAAUGUUAAGUGACUAGAAGACAAAAUAGAGAUGGAUGGCCACGAAUAAAACAAAAGCAAACGAUCCAAGGGCUAUCAUUGUGACACGUCCUCAUCUCCUUCACUAACACCAAACCCUAGCUCCAUGCAUGCAAAAAAACGUGAAAAAGUUGUGGAUUUUUCCAAACUUCCAUUCAAUAAUACGCAUGCCAUAGUGCACCAAAUGAGAUGAAAUAAAAACCAAAAUUCCAGUACAAAAUGUGUAGAUCAUCAUGGUGACUUGUUUUAGUAAAGAUAAUGGCUUAAUCAUGGAGAAAAGUUGACCACAAGAGGUCAACAUGGCCACGGGAAAAGGUAAAAAUUCAGCAACACAAAUCAAUAGCAUUAACAAAAGCAUAUGAUUAACAUGAAAAUGAAUAUGAUGAUGAGCAUAGCAUGAAGCAAACAUAACAUGGCCACGAAAGAGAUGAUUACCUAGUGGAAAAUAGAAGUGGAAUGGAAUCUGAUAUGUGAUGAAACUUUGCCUCCUUGCCACGAAAUUCCACCUCCUUUAGGUUUUAGGGUUUGCCUCUUUUAAAUAUGGUGAAUCUAAUCUUUGAAUGGGCUUUGAAACAAUUGUUAUCCAUAAGAAUAAAAGUGUGAAGUGAGGUGUAGAAAGCAUGGCAUGUGGAAUGUAUUAUUUUGGUCCAAACUUAAGUGAGUGAAUAUUCAAUGCAUGGCCAAAUGAGGUAAAAACGUGACUUGGUUUGUGCAGCAUGCAGUCUGGCUUGUUUGGCAAGCAAGAAAACAUUCCAAGGUAGUGACUUUAUGGCCAUGUAACUUGAUGCUCAAGUCACCAAUUGGAGGAAUAAUGCAAACAGUAGCAAGAUAUCAUGGAGUAUGUCAUCUUUCAUGUUUAUCACAAGUUGAAAUGAUUAAUGGAAGAAUGUGAAAAAUGGCCCUCAAGUUCAGGUUUCAUCAUGCAAAGCUGGUUGGGCCAGUUUGGCCCAAAAUCUGCCUAGAAAAUCAAGUCAUGAUGCCCACUUUAGGUGAAUGUAUCUCUCAAACCAUAGAUCCAAAUGAGAUGAUUCCAAAAGGAUGUGAAAGAAGACAUGGCAAGGUAUAAUUGUUGUGACGAAAGUAUUUUCAAAUAAUGCCUUGAAGUGCAAGUAAACUGGCCAAGAAGUCUUGACAAACUUUGAAGAUCUUUAGACUUAGAAAUUUUUCUAAGUAUCCUAAAAAUAUGUCUCACUUUGACUAAGCAUAACUUUCUCAAUUUUGAUUCAAAUGGAGCAAACAUUAUAUCUCUAGAAAGCUUGGAACAAGAGGAACAACUUUCAUGUUGGAGAAAUUUUCACAUGGAGCUUUUAUCUUGAUGGAAAAUAGGCUUAAAGUGAGUGCAACAAUCAUGAAAACUUGCCCUAAAUGGAAAGUCAACCAUUUCCAAAUUAAGUAACUUUUUCAAUUCCUGAUUAAAUGAUGAAUCCAUGAUCCAACCUUGAUCAAAUUUCAUUUAAGUAACUUUUUCAAUUCCUGAUUAAAUGAUGAAUCCAUGAUCCAACCUUGAUCAAAUUUCACAUGUAGGAUCCCCUAGGCAUGGAUUUUGAGAUUCCACUCUCAAAAUGUCAGGAGUUGACUUUCUGGCCCCACGGUUGACUUUUCCCAAACUAUCUAAUUCUCGAUUCCAAUGACCAAUUGAAGCACCUCUGGCUCAAAUAAAGAGCUGAUCUUUUGUAUGUAGACCCUUGUGGACAUAUUGAGGGUCAUGAAAAAGAGUUUCACCCAAAGAAUCAGAAAUAAACUGAUUUUAUACCAAACCCUAAUUUAGGGCAAAAGUGAUCAGGAACUGAUUGCACUGUUUGCCAAUGGAUCUUUCUGAGAUAAUUGUGAAUCUUCCUAGGCCAAGAUGCAUCUUCAAACAUGACAUGGAUGAGCCCCUCUACUUCCUACCAAACAUUGCCCAUUGCAGGUAUCCAUGAAACCCUAAUCUCUGAUUAAAUCCAGAUGAACACUCUAAUAGCUCUGAAUCCUCCACUGAUGAACUGAGGACCAUAAUAAGAUACCUGGAGACCCUUGAGACUUGUAUAUUUAGAAAAUGAAGUCCAAUUCUCAAUCUUGCUUUGUGUGGGCUCCUUCUGCCAAGGAUUGAUCAAUCAAAACCUGAUUUCCCAGUUACUAAUGCAGUAUGCAAUGAGUAUGACCUAGUAUGAUACCAAUGAAAUGUGAAACAUAAUCCCAUGCUUCCAUGAAAAAUGGAGGGUAAAUUUUGGGGUAUUACAGCUGCCCCUAUUCAAUCAACUGGAGACCCGAAAGGAAGAUAGCAGCGGCUUUCGCACUUUCGAGGUAUCAAGGGACUGAAUAAGAUAAAAACCUGAAAAUUUAGACUGAAGCGAAAAAUGAAAAAUGAAGUAAAAAUGCCUGUCAGGAUCGGCAAAGAGGUGGUCUUGAUCUGAGCAUCAACAAAGAAUCCGUCUGGUACGGUGAGAGUCGGUCUGAACACCGAAAAAGGAAUGUUAGCCUUGAUACCAAAAUAAAUGGUAACACAGAAAUAACCACGGCCUGAAUACCGCUCAUCAGUCUGAAUACUGGAAAUGACUUCGAUCUGAGCAUCGGAAAAUACGAGAUUAUCAAACAUCGGUCUGAACACCGGGAAACUGGCCUGAAUGCCACAAGUUGCGUCGACCUGAACGUCGGAAACUUCUUCGAUCUGAACAUCGGAAAACUGGCCUGAGUGCCACUUCGGUCUGAAUACCGGAAAACUGGCCUGAAUGCCACAAGUUGCGUCGACCUGAACGUCGGAAACUUCUUCGAUCUGAACAUCGGAAAACUGGAUUGAUCGCCACUUCGGUCUGAAUACCGGAAAUUGGCCUGAAUGCCACAAGUUGCGUCGACCUGAAUGUCGGAAACUUCUUCGAUCUGAACAUCAGAAAAUUGGCCUGAAUGCCACUUCGGUCUGAAUACCGAAAAAACUGGCCUGAAUGCCACAAGUUGCGUCGACCUGAACGUCGGAAACUUCUUCGAUCUGAACAUCGGAAAAUUGGCCCGAAUGCCACUUCGGUCUGAAUACCGGAAAAACUGGCCUGAAUACCACAAGUUGCGUCGACCGAAACGUCGGAAACUUCUUCGAUCUAAACAUCGGAAAAUUGGCCUGAAUGCCACUUCGGUCUGAAUACCGGAAACUUUCAUGCCUGUCAGCAUCGGCAGAAAUAGGGAAGAUGAUAAUUGAGGCGGCACGUGGGCCAACGACCCCUGCUGGGAAUAAUAGAGGAUAAAUCAUGAACAAACUUCAGUCUGAGUACUGGAAAUAAACUUCUGGCUUAUCACUUGGGAUACUGAGAAUGUCUUAUGUUUUACAUGCGUAUGUUUGAAUUUUUCAAUGGCGUAAUGCUCCAUGAAAAUGGAAAUGCUACGCGAUUUGGGAGGAUGCAAUGCGAUAUGAUUCUACAUGCAGGGAUGCGAAAUGUUAGGUUAGAGAGAAUGCUAAGCCGAGGCAAGGAAUUCUAGUGGGGAAGUGAUCACAAUCUUCUGGACCCUGGCAAUGCUGUUGGAAAUACACAGCACAAUGAACUCUGUGGGGGAAUGACCAACCAUGCGGUGUUCUGGCAAUAACAAAAUACCGAGACUCUGACUAGGGAGAGAAAGGCACUGAAAGCUUGCUGCUGAGGAAGGCGACGGUGGUUCUGGCAACCAUAAUCUGCGAGAGAGACGACUCAGCAGGGGAAGCAAACACCAAUACUGCACCGAGAUUCUGCUUCAAGGAAAGAGACCAUGGGUCUAGCGUCGAGAUCAUCGAUCUGGAAUCAAACUCUGAGGAGCAGCUGCUUCUGCUAGGAAGAUACAGUCUGGCACUGACGACUCCACUGAGGAUAUACAGUUUGGCACUGUCGACUCUACUGGGGAGUGUAUAAUCUGAAAUACAUGCUUGGGGAAGUACAGUAGUGAGAACCUGUUGGGGAUUGAAGAAUCCAAUGCUUGGACCAACUUUAUAGGGAUGAGACACCAAAUACCAAUUGUUGAAGAAAAACAUUCGCGAUCAUUUACUGGGAACCUUAAGGAAAUGCCCCGAGUGUACCUGUUCUGAAUAGACGAUCCAAAACACUUAAAAUUUACAGCAAUUUUAAAUGUUUAUUAAGCAUGUACCUGUAAAGCUCUUAUGUUUCAUGAUGCUACACUUAAAAUUUACAGCAAUUUUAAAUGUUUAUUAAGCAUGUACCUGUAAAGCUCUUAUGUUUCAUGAUGCAAUGUUUAUCAAAAAUUCGGACGUCAUUUUUGCAAACAAAACAGUAAAAUGAAAAUAAAAACAAAGAUAUACUGAAUAACAUGAUUUUAUUGAUUGAAUGGCCUCUGAAUAGGCAUUUACAUCAGGAAGCAAUCCCUGGAAAGAGGUAAUUACACAAAAGAUAAAAACAGAAAUUAAUCUAAUGGCAAUGUGAAAUGGAUUUCUAUCGGGUUCCAAUCCUGCUAUGACUCGCUCGUCUUCAAGAUCCUCCAGACGAUCAGCUUUCUGAAAAAGGUGGUUGUAAUGUUUCCUAUCCUUCGAAAGUUUCCAGUGAUCGACACGAGAUGAGAUUCAGAACUACUCAGAACGCAGUUAUUCGCUUAAUCCCUAACUUUUGCCUAGAUCGCCCUUUUCGGAUUUUCAAUCCACCGGGAUACCCAUUUUUGCCUAAGUUGCCUUUUCAGGUUUUCAACUUACCGAGUGUACAAUCUUUUCAUUUUUAAUUCCUAACUUUUGCCCGAACCUUUUUCAUUUUCUUGGUUUGCCGGGAUGCCAAUUUUUUGCCUGGACUAUUCUUUUUAUUGUCCAGCGGGUCUAUUUUAUGCGAAGUAUUUUUUAACUGCGUCUGAGUUCACAGGGGAAGUGAAGUCUUCACCAUCCAUAGUUGCAAGCAUUAAGGCUCCUUUUUAUUGUCCAGCGGGUCUAUUUUAUGCGAAGUAUUUUUUAACUGCGUCUGAGUUCACAGGGGAAGUGAAGUCUUCACCAUCCAUAGUUGCAAGCAUUAAGGCUCCACCAUCAAAAAUCUUGGUGAAAAUGUAUGGUCCAUCAUAGUUAGGAGUCCACUUGCCCCUGUGAUCUGUCUGAGGAGGAAGGAUCAUUUUCAACACCAAAUCUCCAACUUGGAAGCAUCGAGGACGCACUUUCUGAUCAAAGGCUCUCUUCAUCCGACUUUGAUACAAUUGCCCAUGACAAAUGGCUGUCAUUCGCUUCUCUUCGAUAAGACUCAACUCAUUGAACCUUGUUUGAAUCCAUUCAGCUUCGUCUAACUUGACAUCCAGUAGGACUCUUAGAGAAGGAGUCUCCACUUCAACAGGUAGAAGUGCUUCCAUACCAUACACAAGGGAGUAAGGGGUUGCCCCGGUCGAUGUACGUAGUGAAGUACGGUACCCAUGCAAGGCGAAUGGUAGUAUCUCAUGCCAAUCUCUGUACGUAACGACCACCUUCUGCACAAUCUUCUUUAUGUUCUUAUUUGUUGCCUCAACAGCACCGUUCAUCUUAGAACGAUAAGGGGAAGAAUUGUGAUGUUGAAUAUUGAAGUUCUUUCACAACUCCUUCAUCAUUUUGUUAUUGAGAUUAGAACCAUUAUCAGUAAUGAUUCUUUCGGGAAUCCCAUAACGAUAAAUGAUUUCUUUCUUAAUGAACCGGGCAACCACAUGUCUGGUGACCUUUGCAAAUGACGUUGUUUCGACCCACUUGGUGAAAUAGUCGAUGGCAACAAGGAUGAAGCGAUGCCCAUUGGAAGCAGUCGGCUCAAUCUUUCCAAUCAUAUCAAUGCCCCACAUAGAAAACUGCCAUGGCAAGGACAUCACAUUCAGGGGAUUUGGCGGCACAUGCACCUUAUCAGCAUAAAUCUGGCAUUUAUGGCACUUCCGAGCAUAUUUGAAACAAUCAGAUUCCAUGGUCAUCCAGUAAUAACCCGCUCUCAACAAUUUCUUAGCCAUUGCAUGUCCGCCGGCAUGAGUACCGAAGGAGCCUUCAUGAACUUCCUGCAUUAACAUGUCUGCUUCGUGUCUAUCCACGCAUCUGAGCAAAACCAUGUCGAAGUUCCUCUUAUACAGCACAUCGUCUUUGUUCAAGAAGAAACUGCCUGCCAAUCUUCUCAAAGUCUUUCUAUCAUUGUUGGAUGCCCCUGCAGGGUACUCUUGAUUCUUCAGAAAGCACUUGAUGUCGUGAUACCAGGGCUUGUCAUCAACUACCAGUUCAGCAGCAAACACAUACGCGGCCCUAUCAAGGCGCAUAACAUCGAUCCUGGGAGCAUGGUUCCACCGAAUCACCUUGAUCAUGGAGGAUAGAGUAGCAAGAGCAUCUGCCAUCUGGUUCUCAUCACGAGGUAUAUGAUACAGCUUUACUGUUGUGAAGAAAGUCAACAGUCUUCUCGUGUAAUCUCUGUAGGGGACCAGAUUAGGCUGGAGAGUAUUCCAAUCACCAUUCACUUGAUUGAUCACUAGAGCUGAAUCUCCGAAGAUGUCCAGAGUCUUGAUUCUCAAAUCAAUGGCUUGCUCAAUACCCAAGAUACAGGCUUCAUACUCAGCUUCAUUAUUGGUGCACUCAAAAGUCAGACGAGCGGUGAAAGGCAUGUGGGCACCUUUCGGAGUGGUAAUGACAACACCAAUUCCACUUCCUUUGGCAUUGACGGCCCCAUCAAACAUUAAAGUCCACUUUUCAUCUGGAUCAGGUCCCUCCUCAACAACUGGCUCUUCACAGUCUUUCAUCUUGAGGAACAUGAUGUCUUCAUCUGGAAAAUCAAACUUCAUCGGCUCAUAAUCAUCAAUCGGCUGCUGAGCAAGAUAGUCUGACAGAAUACUCCCUUUGAUGGCUUUCUGGGAUGUAUACUGGAUGUCGUACUCUGUCAGUACCAUUUGCCAACGAGCAACCCUUCCGGUGAGAGCUGGCUUCUCAAAUAUAUACUUGACUGGAUCCAUUUUGGAGAUCAGUAAGGUCGUGUGAGUCAGCAUGUAUUGUCUCAAUCGCUUAGCAGCCCAUGCAAGUGCACAACAUGUCUUUUCAAGCAUUGAGUAUCUCGACUCGCAAUCUGUGAAUUUUUUACUCAGGUAGUAGAUGGCAUGCUCUUUCCUACCUGUCUCGUCGUGUUGACCGAGAACACAAUCCAUGGAAUUAUCGAGUACUGUCAAAUACAUAAUCAGUGCUCUCCUUGAGACUGGAGGCAUAAGGAUUGGAGGAUUCUGCAAAUACUCUUUUAUCUUUUCGAAAUCCCUUUGGCAAUCAUCAUUCCACCUGAUAGCCUGAUCUUUUCCUAACAACUUGAAUAUUGGCUCACACGUGGCUGUUAGGUGAGAGAUGAACCUUGCAAUGUAGUUCAACCUCCCUAAGAAACCAAGGACUUGUUUCCCUGUUCUUGGCUCAGGCAUUUCUUGUAUUGAUUUUACUUUGGCGAGAUCCAUCUCAAUCCUUUUUUCACUAACAAUAAAACCCAGCAGUUUUCCAGAUCUCACCCCGAAAGUACACUUGUUCGGAUUAAGCCUCAGCUUGAAUUUCCUCAAACGCUCAAACAGCUUCUGCAAAUUCACCAAAUGUUCUUCUUCCGUCUGAGAUUUGAAAUCAUAUCGUUCAACAUAAACCUCGAUUCAUGAUGAAUCAUAUCAUGGAAAAGAGUUACCAUAACUCGUUGAUAGUGCCGCCAGCAUUUUUCAGACCACACGGCAUCACCUUGUAGAGAAGGUGCCCCAUGGGGUUAUGAAAGUUGUCUUCUCCAUGUCUUCUGGUGCCAUCUUAAUUUGAUUAUAGCCAGAAAAGCCAUCCAUGAAGGAGAAUACCGAGAACUGAGCCGUGUUAUCCACCGAAACGUCGAUGUAAGGUAAUGGGAAAUCAUCUUUAGGACUAGCUUUGUUCAGAUCCCGGUAGUCAACACACAUCCGUACCUUUCCUUCCUUCUUAGGUACUGGAACGGUGUUUGCAAUCCAUGGCGGAUAAUUGGUAACCGCUAGAAAUCCUGCAUCUAACUGUUUUUGCACUUCUUCCUUUAUCUUGACAGCCUUCUCUGGUCUUGUUCUUCUGAGCUUCUGCUUGAUCGGAGGACAAUCUUCUUUGAGAGGCAAACGGUGUACCACAAUGUUUGUGUCAAGCCCUGGCAUGUCCUGAUAAGACCAAGCGAAGAUGUCAACAUACUCUUGUAGCAAUUCAAUCAGCCCUUUCUUCACAUUAUCUUCCAAAGCAACCCCUAUCUUGAUUUCUCUCUUGGCGUCCUCGGUGUCGAGAUUAAUCACUUCAAUAGACUCUUGAUGCGGUUGAAUGACCCUUUCCUCCUGUUUUAACAACCUAGCAAGUUCUUCAGGGAGUUCACAAUCUUCAUCCCCCUCUUCCUCAGCUUGAAAGAUUGGAUUUUCAAAGUCGAAGCGAGCCAUAGCAGAACUGUUAUCAAUAGGAUCCGAUGACGUGCAUCUGCAUGAGUGAUGGUAUGUGCUUAUGAGUGUGAACAAGGAGUGAAAACUAAACAAAACAUUGCCAAAUAUUUUUUGAUUUUUUUUUAAAACUGCAAAAAUAGAAAGACGGUGAACAAAAUAUUUGGAUGCAAAAAGACGUCCUUUAUUUAUGAUAAAUAAUGCAGGUAUCCACAUAGGUGAGCCAUACAAUGAGUCAUUACGCCCUGGGCGGAACGUAAGACUUGGAUAUGCAUGAAUAAACAAAGAAAAUUACUCUUCAAGAAGAGUGACUUGGAUAAUCUCUUUAGAAGACCAAUUGCGGAGAACUUCACCCGGGACCCUUGAACGCACCCAGUUGUCAAUAUCGUAAUCACUACCCCCAUCUUCUUCGUUGAUUGCAGAGAUCUGGCCGUAUUGAAUGAUGCCAACACUGGCAGGAAAGAGAGGAUCAACAUCUGCAUUCUCAAACACUUCUUCAACAACCCCUUCAACAGACUUUUGGGCAGAUAGGUCUUCAACCUGAAGGAUACCAUCGUCAAGCAAGGCCUAGAUACCCUGCUGCAGCUUCACACAACCUCCGCUCUGUGCAACACAACCCAAAAAACCGCUCCCACAACCGGGGAAAACAUCUGCCUUUAGCAAGUAUUCUUUGAUUUCUAACAGCGGAGUCUUCAACUUCAACACAUCCUUAACUGACUUGACUUCUCCUUCAACCAUGUUAACAUUUGCUCCACCAUGCUGCGGCAUGGGAUUGUUGACGACAUUAGGAGCCAGCGCAAAGUUAAUGGCCUUUGAGUCAAUAAGGUCCUGAGCUACGCGCUUAAAAGCUUUGCAGUUCUCAAUAGUAUGGCCAUGUGCCCCAUAGUGGAAAUUACACCUAGCGUUGGGGUCAUAACCCACUGGAAGCCUGCCAACGGGAGGAGCCAAAGUGCGCAACUGCACAAGUUGCAACUGCUGAAGGUUGGGAAGCAAUUGGGCGUACGACAUCGGAAGAGUGUCGAAAUGCCUAUCCAUCAUCCUCUGUCUCUGUUGAUAAGCAGGUCUGUUACCCUGUUGUUGUUGGUAUUGAUUUUGUUGACGUUGAGGUUGUUGUUUCUGUUGAUAAGCAGGUCUGUUACCCUGUUGUUGUUGGUAUUGAUUUUGUUGACGUUGAGGUUGUUGUUGUUGCACUGGUGCUGCAGCCGGAAUGGUCACAGCUGCAACAUAAGGUUGUUGAUGGUAAGUUUGAAAAUUAUUCCUUCUGUUACCUCUUCUCUGAUAAGAAGACACAGCAUUUGCAUCCCCUUCUCUCAUCUUCUGUCCUCCUAAGAACGACUUCUUUGACCCCGAAGAUGAUCCAACCCCGUUUUGGAUCUUACACGUCUUCAAGUAGUUCUCCACCCUCUCACCGGUUGAGACCACAUCAGCAAAGUUUGAGGCGUUGCAACCCACCAGACGCUCCAAAUAAGACCCAGAUAGUGUGUUCAUAAACAUGUUAGCCAUCUCUUUUUCCAACAUCGGAGGCUGAACACGGGAAGCCAUCUCUCUCCAGCAUUGAGCAUACUCUUUGAAGCAUUCGUUGCUCUUGAGAGACAGAUUCUGGAGUUGAGUUCUGUCAGGUGCCAUAUCCGCAUUGUACUGAUAUUGCUUCACAAAGGCCUCAGCCAAGUCUCUCCAGCAGCGAAUAUGGGCUCUGUCCAGCCUCAUAUACCACUCCAAGGAUGCCCCAGCUAGGUUGUCCUGGAAGAAGUACAUGAGCAGCUUCUCAUCAUCAGAAUACGCAACCAUCUUACGGAAGUAAGCUUGUACGUGAGUCUUCGGGCAAGAAUGAGUCUAUAUUAGUAUCCAUCACUCGUCUGUGUGGUCCUCUCUCUCCUCCUUAACCUUUUGUUAAGUAAUUCUCAUUAACUUUUGAAUGAGUAAUUCAACCAUCAUUCUUCUCAACCUUUUGUUUGGAAUAUCCCUUUCCUUGUGUUAUGUAGUCGUUAUUACCUGUUCUACGAGAAAAACCAUAUUUUCCCAGCGAGGUCGUCCCUCAUUCCCAUUUCCUUCUUAACCUUUUGGUAAGGAGUUUCUCGUCACCUUUUUUAAGAGAAGUUUGUCUACCUUUUAUCUUAACUGUAUUUAGGAACUUUUGUUUCUCUUGCUAAGAAGUCGUUGCUGCCUAUUGCACAAGAAGGUCGUUUCUCAGUUGAGUUGCUUGCCUUUUUAAGACGUCUAUCUACCUUUUGCAGGAUAUCUCAUUCCAAUUAUUUAUACCCUUUGGUACUUGCCUUUUUCAAAACACGUGAUUCUUUUAUCUCUGUGGAAUUCUGCGGGAACACCUCGACCACCGGUUAGUGGAGGCAAGAAAGAAAAGAAAAAAAGAUGAAAAAGAGAAAUAACGAAAGAAGAAGAAUAUAUAUCGUGCAUUACACACAUUGCAUUAGCAUUGUGCAUACCUCAUACAUGUCUAACCUUCUAUAACCAUCCUUUCACCCUUAUAAAUACCCAUCUGCCAGAUAAAUUUCCAAUCCUCGGCAGUUGCUCUGCACAAAGACUAGUUUGUUCACCCCACAUCCCGGUGAAGAAACUCUUUGCGACCUAUCUUCACAUUACAUUCCAUUUGUUCUUGGUGGGAAAAUUUUCCGAUAUUCUAGUAUUUAAUUCCCUCCUACAUUAAUUGUCUAGAAGUCGUUGCUAUUCAUACAUUCAGGUCCGAGAAGAUUAAAUAGGGGUAGCUGUCAUACCCCAAAAUUCACCUUACCCUUCAUAAUAUUUAUAUAGAUCACUAAACCUAAUCAUUUGCAUAUCAUCAUAAGCAUUCAUCUCAUUUGCAUAAAUAUGAUUCAACACAAGGAAGCAGGUGACUUGAAUUCAUGGUUAUGUGCUUACACCUAGUGGAAACUAGGGCUUUUUCAUCAACUUGAGGUGGAUCAAUUAAUCAAACCCUAAUUCAUUGGUUUGUGACAUUGGUAGACCCUUUCACUUGCAUGGUAAAUCACUCAUCUUUAGGCAUUUGAUCAAGCAUGAUCAUGCCUUGAUCUUUCGGGUUUGGCACAUGUCUUGUUGACCAGGUGCCCAUUUGGUUGCAUACCAUCACGUUAGCGCCUCGAUUGGCUUAGGUGAAGUCUAUUUUUACGUUUCGGUUAGGUGAAGUCUAGGGUCUUCGUGUUCUAGUUUUCUUUUUUUUCUCCUGCUAGUUACUUAAGGUUAAAGAGUGAUGGAGCUUUAAGAUGGCUUCGUAUUCAUUCAUAUAUUUCCAAGCGGAUUGAGCUUAUUCCCUCAAACAAGGCCCAAACGAAUUAUGGUGCCUCACACACUCCCUAGGCCAGGUUCACCCCAUGUGAUUGGGCUUAUCCCACUCAAUCCAAUGCCCAAUCUGAUGUUUUUUUUAGUUCACCUUGCCUUGUUUUUUUUGGUGUUAUCCUUAGGUUAAUUAAUUUAGUUUAGAUAAUUUUAAGAUUAUAUUAGUAAUCCUUUAGAAUAUUAAUUUGAUAAUCAACUCUAAAAUAUUAAUUAGGAAGUUUUAGAAUAUUAACUUUAGAUUUAAUUCUAGUUAUUUGGUUUUUUAGAAUAUUAGAAUAUUAAUUUUUUUUAAUUCUCUUAUCAUUCUUGCAAUUUCGAUUUUGAUUAAUUCUAAUUGCUAAUCUCUAACGUUUAAUCAUUGAUUUGUUUUUCUUUUUAAUUUGUUUUAAUUGCUUGAUUGAUACAUCUUCCAUACUUCAAAUCAUUGAUAGAUAGACAUUUGGUUGAUUUAAUCUUCAUUGAUUCAAAAUUGUUGAUAAAUGAUUAUUAGAUCAUUUUCGAUACUUUGAAUCAUUGAUAGGUUGUCCCUUCAUACGCCAUAUUUUGAGUCAUUUGAUUUGUGGAUAGAUAAUCUCUAGUAAUCGGUUCCAUUUUAAAAUUGUCUUCUAACUUCUAACUCCUAACAUUUAUAUUACGCUUCUAACAUUUGUAUUAUGCACCUAACUUCUAAGAUUUAAAUUCUUGUCAUUUAUUUCUUUACAUUGUAUAUCAUAAGUCCCAUUCAUCAUCACCAUUCUCCACCAUUAUUGACCAUCUUGUUAUUCAAUCUAAAACGAACAAAAACAUGAUAAAAGGGAAAAGACUAAAACAAAUUAAUUGGAGUAUUAUGGACUAUGGACUUAAUGAUUGACCUUAACAUUAGACAUCAGUAUUAUGGACCAUAUGGACUCUUGUGUAUGACCUAAGAUUGGAGACUUAGAGGACUUGUUAGUACCCUUGUAUUUGGACUAAGACUUGUGUGAUUGACCUAUGCAAUUUGGAGUUUCUGAAGACUUGUAAUCUUUUAUUACAAGAAUGGAUAGCAUUCAUAACACUACCUUAGGGAGACAUGCUUUGUAAUUCCAUUAUCCAAUUGUUAGCUUAGGAUACAAUGCACAUACGAGGCUUUCUCUUGAGCUACCUUACAUCGACACCCUUUAUUUCUCGCAAAAAUCCCUUGUAUUUUUCAUGUAUCUCUCUUCCCACUUUGGUGUACUUUUUACUCGUUUUCUUUUGUCUUGUUAUUUCUUGUUAGCUACCCUUAGGAUAUAGGAUCGUCACUAUUUCAUAAAUAAUAAACAAACCCUUGAUUCAAUGUCAAACGGCAUUUUCUCAAAUCCUCCUGGUUACGAUGCCAAUGCAAGGUGUGAAUUCCCCUCUGGUGCUCUCGGGCACACUAUUGAAAACUGUAAAUCUCUGAAGCACAAGGUACAGGAUCUUAUUGAUUCUAAAUCCAUCUCGUUCACACCUAAUGGUCAAAGAAAGCACGUAGAAAGGCAAAGAAAUAAAUUCAUCACAAGAGCCUUUAAAAGGCUUAAUUGUCUAGUAGGAAAGUAAAAUAUUGUUCAAAAGUACAAAGUGCACAUCACCAUUGAUGGCCAACAUAAAAAGCAACUUAAGUAAAUUUAAAUUUCAUGCUCAUUCUUCUGGCCUUCUGAUGUUGGAUUAUCAUAUGUCACGUCCUUCAAGCCUUUUUUUUCAGGAGAAGCUUCUUCCAUGUCGACUAGUUUCCCAUCCACCAGAGUCCUUGAGAAAUUCAUUCUUGACACAUCAAGGUUUGGCCGAUGCAUAGAGCUUGGGUUUUGGCCCUCUCAAAGGAUUCGUCGCUAGCGAAAAUCAAAUUCACAUGGGCAUCUUACAAUGAUUUCUUCAGAGUCUCGUUGAGGGUCCGAGAUUGCUUUAUUUCUUGAGUUAAGCCAACAUUAGUUGCCUCCAAUUCUGAGCAUUUGGUUGUCAUUGUUUCCUUCUGCUUAGUCAUUUCCAUAAUUGAGAUUCUGACAUCUCCUUUUGCUUCUUUAUUUCCGAGAGUUGCUUAGUUAGUUCUUCUACAUGAGUAGUCUGGGCUUUCAAGUUUUCCUUUGAUUGAUUUAGCUUUUUGUAAGGAGAAUUUGAUUCUGUUCAUGACCAUUACCCACUUCAAAUAAACCCCUAGGCAUAACAUCAUAUCUCAUCAAGUAUGCCCCAAGAUUAUGGGUCAAUUGUUGAGCACCAAUAAACUUUACCUUUUCGACAUCCUCAGUUGCGUUCAAAUGAUCAUAAGAAAUCUCAACCUGUCAAAACUAUUGGACUAAAACUUAAACUCAAAAGAAGGUUUGGAUUGGUGAGUACUACCUGAAUCUUGCAAAAAAGUGGUAAUUGUCAAGUCAUCUUGGCUGGCGUCAUCACUCAUCAAAGUCUUCAUUUUCUUUGGAGAGUUGGGCUUUGGAUCCUCGGAAGUGGAGGCAGAGGUCGGCUGGGGCUCCGAUAUGAUAGAGGUUACUUUAGCAACAUCCAAUUUCUUUCGUUUAUGGGCUCGAGUCUGAAUGCCCGUAAGGUCGCUCUUGGAAGCGGACUGAUCUCCACGCCUCGUCCUAGCCUCGGCCAUCAAUUUUAUUCUAUUCGAAGAGCUUGAGAUUUAUCAUGUUAGCUGACAUUAAAGAAUCAGGAUCAAUAAAAAGAAUGACUAAUGACGUCAUACUAGAAUGAUAAGUAAACAAGUGAACGUUACCCAAAAGUAACUUGUUCGAGGUCAUCAAUUAUCUGUAAAAGAUCUUUGAGUUUCACUACCCGUAAAGCAUCCAAAACCAGAGACACGUAGAGGAUUAUCCAACCAAUUGAUAGGGGAAUGGUAGGUCCUAUUUAAAUCAUACAUAACCCGGGGAUAUCCUGUCCCACUUUUAACUCAGAGGAACUUGUCUUUAAACCCCUUAUAGUUAAUAGUGUAAGCUUGCAAGAAGCUCUUUCCCGGAAUUCCACUAAGGGAAACCCAACCUUCUUUUUAUGCACCUUUUAACUCAAAGAACGACAAGAAUAAACCUAAUGUUGGUGUUAUGUCCAUUGUGUCACAAACAACCUCAAAGGCCUUAAUAAAGCUUCAUCCAUUAUGGCGUAAUUGCGAGGGGCUGUGUUUAGGUUUUUGAGAAGAUCAGAUUCAAAUCCAUUAAAUGGAAAGUGGACUUUAAAAUCUUCAAUGACUCCUAAAUAAAAAUAAAAAUAUUUAUCCAACACUUCUUUGGGGCGAAUUGUACACACCCUUUCACCAACUGCACAGGGCUCCAAUAUAACAUCCUCUUCAUUUACAGUAUAAGAGAUUAAAGUAGUGGAAUGCAGCUUUGAGAUGUAGUUUUCGUCAAUAAUAUUAUAGUUGUAAGUCAAUACCUAUUUAUCUAUCAUAGAUCUUAUUGCUACCAUCUGAAUAUCCAAAAAAUCAAGGGAGGAAGACUCCAAAUCAGUGAUACUAGUGGGUGAAGGGAUUUCUCCAUAAACUUCUCUAAUAAUUCGGUCAAAAUCCUCUCUAUUCAAAUAACCCUCACACUCUCGCAUACAGACAUUCCAAAUCAUAUUCCUAUCACUAGCAGUAGGAACGAUUGAAUAUGAAGACAUAAUAAUAAAAAAGAAAAAGAAGCAGAAAAGUAAAGUUACCUUAAGUCUGAAGAAAGGAAGAUCAAAUAGUAGACGCUCAUGGGGAAAGUUGUUUGGGAAAGAUAUUUGAAUAAAAGUAAAAAAGAAAUAAAGUUUUAACGGUCAAGAAUUUAUAUCAAAUUGUAAUAAGAAGUGGGAGUUCCCAUAAAAGACAUCAUAAAGAGAGAGAGAGAGGGAGGGAGAGAGAGAGAGAGAGAGAGAGAGAGAGAGAGAGAGAGAUUUGUCAUCAUUAAAGUAGCUGGUGAAAGUUGAGCAUUACAGGAUGAGAAGAUCGGGGAAAGCCUUGACUCUAUGAAGAAAGGAAAUUUUUGUGCUUUCUUUUUCUGAACAUUUCAACCUUUCAGAUCUCAUGUUUGGGGGCUUAUGUACAUUCUGGAAAAUUAGUUUGACCAGCCGGGAUAUAAGAUCGAAGGAUCAUUCAUGUACAUACGAGAGUUCCUUGAGGUCGAGUUGGUGCGAUAGUCGAGUAUGUUUCAUAUUAGCAUAUCGGUAGUCGUUUUAUACCUCCUAGUGGGAAUCCGGUUAGGGUAUCAAAAUAAGCAAGACGGAGUUGACCUCGUAUAAGACGGUAAUGAUCUGAUUAGUACAAGUCGGAUCUGAUGACAAGGCUAAAAUGUCAUUUGAAAGUUCGUAAGAAACAGUUAUAGGAUGAUACUUAUGAUAUGGGAGUUAUAAUUACUAAAGAGGCAUACAUUACAUGGCAAUUAUAGUGACGGCGGAUGUUACUAGCAGAUGCAUUUAUCAAGAAUAUGGAGAGUCGAGCGAGGGGGAAGUAGAAGGAAUUAAGACCUAUAAAUAGGGGAACGUUUGGAGAAUGAAGGCAAGCAAAAAAUGAGAUAAGCAAUACAUAACAAGACACUCCAACUAGUCAUUUUAGGCUCUCUUUGACUGAAAACAAUGAAGUGAACCUUUUAGUAUUUUUUAGCAAGAACAAUUACUAUCAAACUCACUUUUCCUUUGAUUUUUAUGGUCAGAACAUCUACCAGUCCAUGCAUUUGUGACUAAGAAUCUUCCUCCUGAGAUAGAUAACGCCUCCUCACCAUCUCAACUCAAAGAAUAUGCCAAAAAUAAUAUUUUUUAUUUCAUGACUAAGAUUAUAAAAAGGAAACUCUCAUAUGGUACUCCUUACUUCCCAGACACACCUUUUCUUCUACCAUUCAUGAUAAACUCAAAUUUUAAAUUUACAAAAAAACCAUUUAUGAUAUAUUUGGUGUGAAACCAGACUAUAUAUUAUGUAUGUCAUUGUCCCAACUAAAGUCAUGUGUAACCACAUAAUGGAUCCUAAGAAUUAUAAGUCUUUAAUCUGGACUACUCUUGAAUGGUAUUUCCAUUGGAAUAGUGGAGAAAUCAAUUAAAACUAGACGAAGUCAAGGAAAUAAGAUUAGCCCUGGAAGCCGUUGGCAAACUCAAGACUAUUUUCUUCCUACACAAGCCAUAUCAGAUAGAUCUCAUAACUAAACUCCUUAUUAAAACUAGACGAAGUCAAGGAAAUAAGAUUAGCCCUGGAAGCCGUUGGCAAACUCAAGACUAUUUUCUUCCUACACAAGCCAUAUCAGAUAGAUCUCAUAACUAAACUCCUUAUUUGUAAGAAUUAUGUUAAUCUAUGGGAAACUAUUAAUGAUUAUCCUCAGUUUAAAAGUUACAAAAGAGUUAAUGGAUUAUAUCAACUUCAUCGAUCUCUAUGGUCAAGGAAAAAUCAGAGUUGGUACGAUAUGCAUAAGUCAUGAAAGGACUAGGAUACAAAAAAUUGGAGAAAGCUCGGGUCAGGCUCAUCAACAGAAACAAGAUUCUCUCGUGGAAGACGAGUCAUCAGAAGGACGUGUGCGAGAAACCCAAUGCAAAAUGUUGGAUGACACGUGGCAGUAUGAGUCACCUCCUUAUCCGGGUUACUUUAAAGACUGAUUUAAAGGUGUCACUCAUUUGUAAAAAGCAUUUCAAUAAUGCUUAUGAUGGCAUGCUUGUAAACAGUGUCUUUCUUUUCUUUUGUGUAUCUCCUUAACUAUAAAAGGGGACGUCUUAUAUCACUUUGAGGCAGAAGCAAUAAAGAAUAAAACUCGUACGGAAAUGCAAGUAUGUUCUACAUUUUCCUCAAAAAUGAGGAUUUUGAUUCAUGUUACGGUUCUCACUAUUAUAGGAUGUCAAUUUGAAUUGAUAGUCUAUGUUUGAGACUUUGUUAUGUCUAUGGUUGAUUGUUUGUUGUCUCACUUGACAAUAGCGUUAGUUUCAUAGUAUAUAGAAAUCGUAAAAGAGAAAACUACUUAAAAAAAAAAAGUGAAAAUAAUUUUAUAAAUCAUGUGUUCCUUAAAUCCUACAACCAACCAUAUUAUAAUUAUUGUACUGUAUAUUGAAUCUUAGCGGAUUAGGCGUCCGUCAAGUCCAAGCGUUUUCAAAAGGAAAGAAACAAUUAAAGUCUGCAUUAAGAAUUGCUUGUGACACAAGACCUAACCCUGUCUCUAGAGCUCUAAAAAUAAAUUUUACAAAAAUAAUUUAUUAACGAAACAGUUCGUUUUGAGAGUAGUGAAUUUACAGACUUACGAAUCUAAUCGAACCACUGCAUCUUUCUUCAAACUGCUGUGGCAAAUCAUGAUGAUGAAUUGUCAUCGCCCAAUCCCUAGAUCAAGUUCAAACUUAUAAUUGAUUAUCCAUUCAUGUAUUAAGAUUACCUUCGUUCAGAAAAGUAAGUAAGCCGAACAAUUGCUUAAGCAAAAGAGAUUCAUUCAUACACAGAAGGAUUCAUUUGAUUUAAAAGAAAGUUUCACACUAAUUCAGACCUAACACUAACAGAAAUAAUCUUAGAAUAACCAUUACAAAGUACAAAGCAAAUUAUACAUAAUUCAAGCACUUGUAAACUUAGUCACAGCUUUGGUUCCCUCUGAAACAGCAUGCUUAGCCAAUUCCCCAGGCAGAACAAGCCUGACUGCCGUCUGAAUUUCCCUAGAUGUUAUUGUCGGCUUCUUGUUGUACCUUGCAAGUCUGGAAGAUUCAGCAGCAAGCUUCUCGAAGAUGUCGUUGAUGAAGCUGUUCAUGAUUCCCAUGGCCUUGCUUGAGAUACCGAUGUCAGGGUGAACCUGCUUCAUCAGCAGCAAGCUUCUCGAAGAUGUCGUUGAUGAAGCUGUUCAUGAUUCCCAUGGCCUUGCUUGAGAUACCGAUGUCAGGGUGAACCUGCUUCAGAACUUUGAAGAUGUAGAUCUUGUAUGUCUCCACACUCUUCUUAUUUCUCUUCUUCUUCUUGUCUCCGGCGGCGGCACCGGCUUCCUUGGGAAGCUUCUUUCCGGCCUUGGGUUUCUUCUCGGCAGGAGCCUUCUCGGCCACCGUAGACUUCUUCUCUUCGACGGGUUUCUUCUCAGCAGGCUUCUUCUCUCCCUUUGGCGCCAUUACAAGAAUUGAGAAAUUUAGGGUUUCGAAUUGGAAAUUGGAUAUUAAAACUGAAACGAGAUGAUGAAUGCAAAGGUUGCGGUAGUUUAUAUGUAUAAGAAGAUUCUAUAGUUGCUAUUGGCUAAAAUGGUUAUUCGCGGAUUGUUGACGUGGAACACUUUUAAGCCGUUGUACUAGUUUUAAUAGAAUAUGACAAUCAACGGUCACAAUCUUGCUUUAACUCAACGAUGAUGAUGGUGCUGUGUGGGUGACUGGAUUACAUACUUUUAAUUUAUUUUGUUCCAACAAAACUCUCCUAGAUACUUAUUGCUAAAAUAAAAUAUACUCCGUAUUUAAUUAUCAUUUAGAUUAUUAUAAAGAUAUUUUAUGAAAUAUUAUAAAAAGAUUCAUCUACACAUUUAUAAAUUUUUACCACAAGUUAAAUUAAACUUUUAUUUUUAUUUUUAAACUCGUUUUUAAAAUAAAAAAACAGUUUGCAUCAAUCUAAACCCACUUUAAAAAAUCAUGUAAAAUUUUAAGUUGUCUUAGUCCAGUGAAGGAAUGAAGGUCACAAACAUUAUUUCUUUAGGGUACUUACCAUACAAAUAGUUUUAAUAUAAUGAAAUCUAAGAUAAAUCUUCAUUAGAAUGGCACAUAAUCAAAGCUUCAAAAAAUUCCGGAUCGUCAACACCUAUAAGCAGUAUAAGAUUUUAGGUCUCUAAAAAUUAUAUAACUACUAUAAAAGACUAAUGAAUGCCUUACAUUUAAUUACACAUUAUUUUAAUCAUAAAUACCUCACACUUUCAAUUGUCACUCAUUUGACGACAUUUUGUGUUUGCAAGUACCCCCCACCCCACCCCACCCAUCCACCCACACACACACCGGUAUAAAGCAUCAAGAUAGUAAAUCACCUAUCGGAGUUCACAAUUAGAUGUCAAUUCAUCGCCUCGCUCAUGAACUAGAUAGGUCUUUUCGAGAAUAAUUGGUGUCGUCUAUGGAAACUGACUUUCAACGUUUCCACAAUACUCGAUAAUAAGAUUCAUUGCUGACCAAAGGGAGAAAGACUGCAUCAACGUCAGUGACAAUGCCAUACCAUUUUCUAUUCAUUGAAAUCAUCAAAAUUGCUCCAAAAUUACAUAUGAACAUAUAAUAUUUCAGUCAUCUUAAUGAGUGUCAAUUCACUUACCUUCACCGCCAGCGGUUUCAACAUUUCCUUCAUUAGUCGAAGGCAUUAUGUUGUUGAUGAUCUUGUUAUCAAAUGAAGGAAUUCAACAAUCACCCCUAAAUAUAUCGGUAAAAGGUAAUACUUUGCCAUUAUCCACCCCCUCAAUCCUCGACGGUCUCUUGGUUGUCGCUUAGAGAUGGUCAAUGUCUUUGGAGGAACAUAAUGAAAGGCUUUAACGGAUUAAAGUGACCAGUCUCAGCAACCAAAGUCCCAUGAAGGACAAUAUAGGGUUUGAUAAGAGUCAAUAACGAAACACUGACUUUCUACAAUAAGGAUCUAGAGGAAUCAUCAUGUCCUCACGGCCCUAGAUCCCACUCCCUAAAACUAAGGAAACGUUUAUCGCUUAGUCCCAAAGACCAUAAUCUUUGUUACAUCCAGCACCAUGGGAAUUUACCACCAUCUUCCUUUUUAUAAGAAAUUGGGGACAAUGAGGACGCUCCUAAAAGUGAUGUUUUCCCCGUAGAAUAAACGAACACCCCUUAUCUUUUGACUUUGUUGUAUUUUGUUGCUUUUUCAUCUAUAUUUUUAUUUUGUUGCAUAAUUACUUGUUUGUUUUUCCAAAAUGUUUUCAAACUCUGUUUUUCCAAAUGAUUUUGUUUUCAACCAAUGUUUUACAAACAUCCACAGUCCCCCUUGUAAGACCCCAAUUUUGAUCCUAAGAUCCAUCAUGUUAUUAUCAUCAUAUGCAUUGGCAUUGGGAUCACACUUUGGCAUCCUCAUUACCCCUCAUUCAUUGGGUUUACAUUGGGAGAGAUCAUCAAGCACCAUGUGAUUGUAUCAUAUUUUCUUAUAAUUUACUAACCAAAAUACCAAAAAUAUGUCUUUGUAUAAUCUAAUUCUUUUGUAGGUAGGGCACAUGCUCACCUUUGAUCUAUCAAGCUCACAUCUAGGGUUUAAGACCCUCAUUGCAAUGAGCUCAAUCAAGAUUUGGUUUAAUAUGGAUCUAAGUAUUAUAUAUGAAUCCCCAUGAUCUUCACAUUUUAUUUUGAUCAAGAAAUCAUCAAGAGUUUGGAGUUGGUUUGCCUUGGAAACCCUAAUUCAUCUGGGUAUUUUGUGUGACUUCUUCAACACGUUUCUUCACCAGUUGAUCAAAUAUUUCAAGUUAUACUUCAAAUUUCAUCAUCUUAUGCAUGUAUGAUCCUCCGUGAGUCUUAAAAGUCAAGAGAAUGUCAAGCUAGCAAGUUGGUUCAUGGUAGUUGACCAGAGGAAUUCAACUGAUCAAAAUUGGGGUUCCCUAGACCCUAUCUCCUAAACUUUUUGUCAUAUGAAAAUGAUUCCAAGACAAACGUUACUCUAAAUGACAUUACAAAAAACUUUCAUGUUAAGGUCUAGAGCUAGUUUUGCUUCGAAAAUCAUUUUUUAUGGUGAAAGAUUAUAGGUCAUUUUGUCUAAACCCUAAUUUGGAAGUCAACUCCCAAGACCAUAACUUGCUCAAUUUUUAUGAUAUAAAAGCUAUUCAAUUUUCACAAUCAAAUUCAAGAUGUCUACUUCAACUUAGAUGUUUGGAGGAAGAGAAAAUUCAACUUUUAAAUGCAUGUGAUAUGAGGAGAGAUUAUAGGUCAUUUUGGGCCAAUACCAUUGAACAAGUGAUUUUCCUCAACUUCUAAAAUGUAUAACUCCUUCAUACUAAAUCCAAAUGAGGUCAAAUUUGUAACCAAUUUUAAGGACUUUGAGAGAGUUACAACUUUUAUUAAGGAAAGUUUCUCAUUUGAAGUCCAUAGAAAAAGUUACCCAAGGUGGAAGAAGUGAACAUAUGGCUUGGUACUUAGAAUUUUUUUUGAUAUGUUUGAUUUUCCAAACUUCCACCUCAAAAUUCAUCAUUAUCCAAGUUUCAAAUGAAAAAGUGUUUAACAUAAAAGUUGUUCCUCUUGAUCUAACCUUUCUAAAAAAGUCCAACUUCAUCCCAUUUGGACAAAGUAUAAGUGACUUGCGCAUGGCUUAAAGUUGGAUGACCAUUUGGCAUAAUUGAACUCCCAUCUUCCAUACACAAAUGCAUGGCUUGUUAACAUGACUUCAGCAUUGCUUACACAUGAUUUUGGACCUAAGUGAAUCAUUACAUGGGCCUACCACACGCCCAUGCAUCCAUGCAAAGUGAAAUUGCUAUUUUUGAAAGUUUGAAACAAGUGUGCAAAUAACAAUGCUUUGGCUAUAAAUAGAAGCUCAAUCACUCAGAAUUGAGGACCCUUGCGCGCCAGCUUUGAAUCCCUAGCCCUAAACACCUUCAUUCAUAGGAUAACCUUGAGGAUUUCCAUUAGAAAUCGAGUCUGAAUCUCCACUGUUUUGAGGUUCAAAUCUCCAAGAGUCCUGCUUCUUUCUUGAUUCAUUUCCACUCCAUCAAGCAUCCAGAGCAAGGCUAAGCAUAAUUGAGAGCAAGAUCGUGGCCAUCUGAACCUGUAGUGAAGGUGAUUUUCUCAAUUUUUUAUCUCUUCGAUUCUCACACAAUUCUCCAUAAUUCUUCUUGAUUUUUGGUUGUCUGAAGUCUUACCAAUGUAGGCAAGAAGAUUGAGUUGCUUUGAGGACAAAUCGAAGUAACUCGAAUCAUGAUCCUCAAAAUUCAACUCCCUGUAUCUUUCAAUAUACUUGGACUUAGAUGAAAUUGAGGCCAAAUUCGAGCUCCUGAGCAUUUUUACUUUAAAUUCAUGUCCUCCUUUUUUAUUUUACUCAUGGUCGAAGGUGGUAUCUCAAACCAUAGGAUCAUCUUAUUUUGUUUUAAUCUCACACGUUGGUUUUGAUUACCGUCCCUGCAAUGCAUUGACUUAGGUCCAUCAUGGAACGCGCGUUGGGAUCCACUUGAUCUGCCACCUCAAUUAAUGAGGGAGAUCAAGUGGUCCACGUAUUUUAGCAUUUUCUGAUUUUUAGUUUAAUUGCUUUAUUUUCAUUAAUUCAUAUUAAUUUUAAUAUUGAUCCAAAUCUCAAUUAAUGAGGGAGAUCAAGUGGUCCACGUAUUUUAGCAUUUUCUGAUUUUUAGUUUAAUUGCUUUAUUUUCAUUAAUUCAUAUUAAUUUUAAUAUUGAUCCAAAAAAUAUGAGACUUUCACCACAAAAUUUCAAAUAAAUUCCUCUUUCAUUUUCUGAAUUAAAAUUGUUUUUUGGAUCAUUAUUAAAAAUUUUCAUGAUUUAAUUGUUUUUGUACAUAUUUAUAAUUGUUUAAAAAUACUUUUAAGUUUCCAAAAAUGAUGAAUUUUUUCUCCAAGGUCCUUUGACCUUGUUUGACCUAUGAUAAACCUCAUGGUCAUUUAUUUGGUGUUUUGAUGGGGUUUUAGGAUUUUGACCAACCAUUAUUUAAUUUAAUGCAUUUUAUAAUUGAUUUUAAUUGUUUAAUUGCAAAUAAGUUGUGUUGGGCUAUUUGUGUUGACUUGUUGAGUUUGACUAUUGUUGUUGGGUCUUAGUCAAAGUUGAUUUGACUUUGUUGAGUUAAAAUAAUUGGAUUUAGGGGAUUGAUGAAAUGUACAUUUCAUCUCCCAAAAUGAAUUAAUGAUAUUAAUUUGAUAAAAGUCAUCCUUUGACCAAUUUGUGUUGAUUUCGUUUCCCCUCCCUCUUCAUCUCAAUCCUAUUAUAUUCUCAUUCAUUUCUUUGACCUAUGAUAUCUCUAUAUCCUAAGGCUAGUGGAUUGUAAAAUCAACAUAAGUAUGUAUGAGAUUAGGUCCACCCAUUUUGCCACUUUCUUUUAAGUGUGGUAUGUUUUACGAGUAUGGUUCAUAAUAUCAUAUCUCUAACAUGCAUUAACACUAAAAUUUCUAUUGAUCGGCCUCAAAUAGUUAUGACUUCUACAUAAGUCCAAUUACGAUUGUUUAACAUAGCGCUAAAUUUUGACUCAUAAGCAUAGCAUUCUAGUAAGUGAGAUUGUAAGUCUCCCCCCUUUCAUGGUAUUAUGUAGAAACUUUGCCUUUUUUCCUUCCUUUGGAAGAUGUCUUGGUUCAAGGAUCUAUGCUUGUGAAUAGAGGGUUGAGUGUUCUCCAAAGAAUGACUUAAACAUUGAAAAGCAAAAGCAAUAUUAACUUCUAAUCAAAUAAGAUUCAACUAACAUUUAAUUUCAAGCACUUUACUUUUAUGCACUUUAAAUUCAAGUCUUUACUCAUUUGCCAUUAUUCAUACCAUUUAACUUGUUUAUUUUAAUGUCAUUUUCACUUUGCUCACUUGAGCUUUAUUUUGUGAUUAUAUUGUGAUUGUAUAUACUUGUUUGUGUAUUUUGUUUGGUUAUGCGGUCUUUUGACCUUAAUGUACAUAAUAACAACAAAAACUCUAAAAAAAGAUUUGUGUGGACUGUUGGUUUUGUUCUGAGACAUUGGACUUAGAAUUAGGCAACAUUCCAUAUGCAAAAGGACUUGGCCAAUGCCAACUUUUCUGAAACCAAGUGCCUGUGAAGUUAACUUUCAUCUGAAGCAAGUAUUGAGAUCCCACUUGAGUUCAUCUGCUACAUGGUCUUAUUAUAGAUGUUACUUUGAACCUAUGACUAAUGCCUAUCUCUGAGCCAUUCAAGAAGUAUGUCAUCUGGUGCAUGGGAGAUUAUGAAGAAGAUCAUGAAGUUGCUAAGCUUGGAUGUGGCUAUCUUUAUUUGAUGUCUUUCUCUUUAUCUUGCUAUUUGUGUAUUGAUAUUGCUUGAUUCUAAAGUCCAAGGGAAAUUUGGGUUUCUAUAUGACAUUCUUGUCUAUUGGAUUGCAGCCCAUUGGUCAAAUCUUUUUAACUCUUAACUUUUAAAUUUUUGUUUAGGAGUAGUUGUAACACCCCGAUGAAAUUAAGAUAAUUGUUUAAAUUAAGUUAAUAUUUUAUUUAUUAAUUUAAUUAAAUAAUUAGAAAAUUAUUGGAUUAUUAAUAUUAUUAUUGGGAUAAUAUUAUUGGGUUGGGGGGGAGGGGGAAAAAAAAAGGAGGGAAAAAUUGGCUUCCCCUACUUUUCCCCAAAUAAAACUGCUCGUUACCUGAAAACAGUUGUAAGGGUGAGUUCCCUCAAUCAAUAUAAUGAGUAUUAUAAAAAUAUCAUGUAUGUUAAGUGAUUCACACACUUCAUCACCUAAUCAAAACACACAUUCAGGAACAAAUAUUAAUUCAAAUCAUACUCAAAUAACAGCACAACAAUACCAACACAAACACACGUGAAUAUUGGAAUACAUCCAUUCAAUAUUACACGCUAUACAUAUUUAUGCAUGAGACUCCAUGCAUGCGGUACCGACUAUUGUGACAUAGUUCAACUCACCGUCCAAUCCGGCACGGCUACCAAGCUCACUAGUCCCUCAUUUGGACAUAGUGACUCUCACUAAUUCCUCACCAUGGGAUUAGCUACCACCCCAAAUGGCCAUGCUAUGCACGCUAUCACCUAGCAUGCAAACAUCAAAACAAAUCACAAUGAUUUACUCACUAAUUCCUCACCAUGGGAAUUACACACAUAAGCGCACAAUAUGCAUGCUAUCACUAGCAAUGCACAUCAACAACAUUUAAGAUAACACUGCUCACACUCUAAGCCAUAAAUAGUCUAUUAAAUGCAUAACAUUCACAUCAUUCAUGGUAUACCAUCACAUAUCAUCAACAAACGCAUAUCAUAUCAUGCACAUAAUAAAUCAUAGUAUAGCACACUCUACUAAUACCUAUACUAUUCAAACAAGGGAAUUGAUCCCUAAACAUCAUACCUCAGUAAGUACAUCCACUCAGCCUAAAAACCAAAAACUGCAUAACAUUGUUUCAGGAAAAUCACAAUCUGCCAUACGCGUAUUCCUAUGCCCUACGCGUAUUGCCCAACUGACCAAGUCCUACGCGUAAUGCCCACGCCCAUUACGCGUAUGCUAGCGUACCACUCCUCAUACGCGUACCAACAGAGACACUUUACGUUCAAACAUCAUCUCUUUCACUCUACGCGUAGGCCUCAUCCAUACGCGUACCAGCUCAUCUCAUACGCGUAUUGCUAGUGCCAUACGCGUCAUGACCAGAAACCAGAAUUUCCGAUCUGCGUGGCUUUCUCUGCUACGAGAUCUAUCCAAUUCAACUUCUACGUCCAAAUUUUACACGCAAUUCAUUAUAUCAUCUAACACGAAUCAGACACUUUUCGAUUUCACAAAUUGCCAACCUUUCUACUUAAUUCCUACGAAUUUUCAUCAUUAUCAUCCAAUUCGUUCAUCAUAUUUCACAGUUCAUCAAUAUCAUUUCAAUCGAGUCAAAUUCGCAGGUUCAUCACUCCAUUACAUGCUAUCCAUAAGACCAUCAAACGAUGAUAAACCCCCUUACCUGAGUAAAUCCGGCAAUUCCGUUAGCUUCAAGCUUUUCCUCUUCUCUUGCUCUGCCUCUUUUCCUUUCUCUUUCAAGCCGCUCUUUUCCUUUUUCACUUAGUCAAGAACGCUUCACCAUGAGGACUUUUUAUUAUUCAACUUAUAUACUGCAAUAAUAAAAANCAACUGUUUAUUUGAUUAAAUAAAGAGCAUGACUGUUAUUUUGGAACAUGGUGUGAAGUGAUCAUGUGACACCCUUAACUGCAUAAUUACUCUGAUGUUGUAUUUUGAUAUUUAAUUAAAUUAUUGGGGUAUUUUAGAAGGGUGUUACAGUAGUCUCUUCAUCUCCUCCCACUUCUUUAAUUUUAAAUCCUUCCCUCAUUUUAAAAUCUUCUUUGUUUGUGUUUUCUAAACUUAGACUUUAUUGCAAAUUAGAAACUUUGGCCUUAUGCCAUUGCAUUUUUAAACUCUUUUCUUAAUCAAACUUGUAAAUGAAUCUCACUAUAUUGACUUAAAAUUUCAAAAGACAAAAAGAACUAACACUCAUUCAAACCUUUUUAGACCUUUUGUGCCUUUGCUAACCUUAAAUUUUUGUUAAAAGCAAUGCACUCACUUUGAAAUUGUUACCACGAACUACGAGGUUUUGAUCCCUCAUUUUAUGUUGGUACGUAGGCACAAGUCCGAAGGUCUUGUCAAACACAAAUAUAAUUAAUGAAUUCUUUUCUCAUCCCUCCACUCUAUUUAUUGCAAACAUCAUUUUGUACAAACACACAUAUUCACACAAAAAAGGACUCCCUAUGAGUACCUAGGACACUUUGAAUGCUAAUACCUUCCCUCUGUGUAACCAACCCCCUUACCUGUAACCUCUGGCAUUUUAUUAGUUUUGAUUUGAAAACUUCUUAUCUUUGGGUUUUGUUCGUACUUUUCCCUUUUCCCUUGGAAACAAUAAAAGCGUGGUGGCGACUCUGGUUUUAUUGAAGUUAAGUUUAUCCAUAGAUUAAUGAUCAUGAAUUUAUCGCUACGCCCCCCCCCCCCUUCUUGUUUAUGGAGUCAUAUGUCCAAUAAGUGGAAUAAUAGUCUAACUCAUGUUUAAAUACUAAUCAUCUAGAGAGGAAGAUAACUUCAAACACUUAUUUUAACAAGAGGAUUUUCCUUAACGCACCUUCAUCGUUUAAUGGUGAUGGGUUUGUUAUAUGGAAAGUUGGAUUUAAAAUGUUCAUUAAAAUAUAUAAUAUUGUAUUUGUGGGAAACGAUAGUCAAUGGUCUGUUUAUUUUUGCUCACUAUGUUAACAGUGAAGUAGUAUAUAAACUUGGUUUCCUUUUGACUAAAAAAGACAAGACAAAUUUCAAAGAUAAAAAAGUUUUAGUUAUCACUUUGUAACACCUCGUAUAAUAUACAUCUAGAAAAUACAUUAUACACAAUGUUAAUUACUAGUGACACACCACAAGUGUCUAACGGCAUCACUAUAUAUACACAUGUCUAAAAGAAAAUAGAAUUAUGACACAUGUUAUACAUGGGUGCCUAAUUAAAAACAAAGAUCUAUGUACAAUAUUUAUAUUUCACAUAAUCCACAACGGAAGAUCACGAUAACGAAAGUCUUCGAAAUAUCAUCAUACAAAGUCAUAAUUAUACUUGUGUAAUUUACCACAAUAGAACAAUGACUUAAGCAUCUAAGGGAAUUUACACGUUGUAUGGAAAACACACAACACAAGUUCACAUAAACUCAAAGAAUCACUAUUCAGAAGCAAGAAACAUUGUUCCCCAACCGGACCUACGUUUAGGGAAAGGCUCGGCUCACACAUGUUCGUAUGAUUCGACUUUCUUGUGAAUUCAGGUUUUCCAUGGGACUCGAAUCCACUUCAAGAACUAUCACUCAUAUGGGACUUGAACCCACUUAGAUUAUCUUUUGCAGUAUGGGACUAGAACCCACUUAGGCGUCCACCCCUCCUCCAUGGACUCAAUCCAUAGUUGGGACUCAAACCCAUUGUGAGGCAUGAGCCUAAUCCCAAUUCUACUUUACAUAAGCAUCUCAAUUGGGAUGUGCAUGAUCAAGGGAAAUUUUUGAAUAUGUGAAUAGUUCUCAACAAUCACCACAUGAUUAUUCUUAUCAGACACUAUGCAAUUAUAUCACAAUCACCAUGGGUUGAUAUCAUAAUUACCAUAUGAUUUUAUCACAAUCACAUUAUAUUACAAUGUGUUUCCAUACAAGCUAGUUCAAUUUGCAAUUGGAUCAUCGUUAACCAUCCAUACCAUAUGGCACAUUUUAUAAAUGGAACGGUCCAUCUCUAGCAACUACUCGUUCAUGGAUGCGCAUCGAUGCACCUCUUACAUUCGAGCAUUGCAACCUAAGUUAUUUACCAUAACCUAAGUUAUCUUUUAUUAAUUCAUUCACCUAAUUACAAACCUAGGUCUAACCUCGCUUUUUAUCAUAUAUUUUAAUCAAUUAUUAUACAAUCAACACGAGUAAACAAUUUGUAGUAUAAUUCAUAAUACACAUGUGUUAACUCAUAUACAUACACAUCACAACAUGAUACAUGAAAUACACAUAAUAGUUCAUCACUAAUUAGGACUUUCGGAAUAAAGUCUCUUCACCAAUAUCCAAACAAUAACAUUUGGCAUUCAUAUAAUAUUUCCUCACAAAUUUUUCACUUAACUUAUUACAUAAACAUUAGGCGAAGCUUUCACGCAACUUGCUUUGACCUAAAUAAUACCACCUACACACCACAUAGUAAGUGUAUGUUUGAUCAUCCUAUGGUGGGGAUUACCCCGAUCGGACGGGGAAAUUUGAGUGGGAUAAGAACAUAGAAAUUCCAUUAUUUUAUAUCCCUUUGUGUUAUUUGACCGUGUCUCAUUCCGAAUUACGUCACAAACAAUGUCACGGAAAAAAACCACAAGACUAUCAGGCUAGCUAGGCGAGCCAACAUCUCACUGAGCGAGAGUGGGACAAAAAUGUAGUUGCAUGUCUCUACUUCACUCAGGGAGAGCUUCUAUCCAGUUAUUUUUUUGCUUGUCUUCUCGCUUUCAUUUUUGUUUUUAUUUCGGUUUGUGUAGUCUCCUUCAUUAUUGCAUUUCUUGUAAUCGAAUUUUGAUUUGAUUCGAUUUUAGCAUGCAUAAAACUUUGGUUAGAUUUGAUCUUGAUCUAAAAGUUCUUUGAUCAAUAUCAUAUGUUAGUGGAAUGAAAUAAUUUUGUGUUUUGGUUAAACUUUGAUAGAAAACUAAAAUCUCAAAAUGCUUUUGAAAUUUUGAGAUUUUGAGAUUUUACAAGAUUGAUUCGAAUCAUUCAGUUUUAUACUGAAUUUUUCAUCCUAAUCAAAUUGGACAGAAGUGAAACUCAAUAAUUUGAUUCUGAUCAAAUUUUACACUUGAUCCUGAUCAUUUUCCUGGGGACAAAUUCUAUUUGAUUUAAUUCGAAUCAAUAUUUGUACAUGAUUCAAAUCAAAGAGAUACUAUAUUGUAAAGCAAAUAAUAUUACACAUGUUCCAAGAGAGAGAAAAAACAUAUAUGAAAGCGUUUUGUUGAAGCUGGAAAGUACAAUAGUGACAAACGACAACCACUAUUUAAUAUAAGAGACACUUGAUAAACCAAGUCUCUUCAACAAAUUUGCAUUUCUCCUUCAUUAAUGUAUCACCUUGACAACAGGAAUGACAAUUUUUUCAUGGAUCACAUUAAAAAUUAAGAACGUACUUUGCCAGUAGUCCAUGUCAAAGCCAGCCUAGUGAAGAUAAUAGAAUGAUUAUACACUAUUAUAGUGGAAAUUAUACAUAAGAGGUCCCUCCCCCUAUUAAUUGUGGAUGUAAAUUACUUCACCAAAUGGAUCGACGUUGAGACCUUAGCAAAGAUCACAACCACCGUCAUUCCGAAACUCACAAUGUGAUACCUUCUCACCAAAGAGCUUUAUUAUCUCCUCCUUAGUGUAUGCCUCAAUUUUAAAAUGGGUUUCAAUAUAACACUUUUUAUUCAUGGGAAGAUCAACGCCUUUAGGGUCCACGUCUUAUUUUAGAAUUUCGUAAGGGUCUUCUUCAAAAACACUUCCUCAUCAGAUAAGUCAAUGCUCUUGUAUAUGUACGUCUUAAUACUCAUCAGAAGAUGAUGCUGCCUCCAAAACUUUGAGCAUAUAUUUAUGCAUAACGGGGGAAAUAAAAGUUCAAUGAGGUGAAGGAGAGAACCUCGGAGAAUACUCAUCGUUGUUGAAGGCCUCUGUCGUGAUUUCACAAAAACUUCGGUGAGUUGUACGGUUAAGGGGUGCAAAAAAUUAAUAUACUAACUUAAACCUUCUGACUAUAUAUAAUAUAGUAUAUAAUUAUAUAUAUUACUUAAUAUAUUAUAUUAUAUAUAUAUAUAUAAUAUAUAUAUAUAAUAUAUAUAUAUAUAUAAUAUAUAAUUAUAUAUAUAUAUAUAUAUAUUUAUAAUAUAUAUUUAAGGAUUAAUUACUAUGCAUUGUGAAUGUAAAAAUUACACCGUCGAUCUUCAUCAUCAUCUGUUUGCUUUACUUUAUAAUUUUUAAAAUAAAAGUCAAAUUUAUUUCAAUAUCCAACGUUUAAGAUUAACUGACUGUGUAAAAUCUUUUUACACUGUAAGUGUAUUUCAUUAAAUUAUAUUUAUAUUAUAUAUUAUAUAUAUUAUUAUAAUAUAUAUAUAUAUAUAUAUGGAUUAAUUACUAUGCACUGUCAGUGUAAAAAAAUUUACACCGUCGAUUCAUCACCAUCAUCCAUUUGCUUUACUUUAUAAAUAAAAGUCAAACUUAUUUCAAUAUCUUUCGACCUUGUUUGAAAGAGAUUAGUCCUUCGGGGAGAUCAUGGUUAUUAGAUGUUCUCAAUACACGAAUAAAUUGAAGAAGAAAAAUGUUAGCGUAUGAAUGUUAUUCUUUUUUUAUAUUCACACAAAUGUUUAAAAUCUUUUACAUAGGCCUAACUCAAAGGAUCCUUAUAUGAGAGAGAUAUCAUCAAAUGGUUUAGAAUUCCAAAUUCAAGGUCAUUAAAGGUAAGGUCGAACCACAUUAUAGAGAACGAGCAUUCGUGUAGAGGUAGUCCAUACAUUACAUAUUGGCUACAUUGUCGCUUACCAUUUUUGGUGUGGAUUAGUUGACAUUCUGAAGACGGGCCAACAUCUCAGUGAGCAAGAUCUAUUAUAUCUUCAUUUGUGUACUAGGACAGAGUCCUCAAGAUUUCUUCGUCUACCUAGAAAUAUUAACCACCAUCCUCGAGAAGAUCAAGAGUCAACUACAUCUUUCUCCCCAUGUUUGUUUCACUGUCAAUAAAUACAAAAUGCCUAACGUGAGUAUUACACCUUGUUAUUCUUCUAACCACUUAUUAAUCUCACCCUCAGUAACCUAGUGAAUGAACAAAUGUCAUAUACACCUAGUAACACUUUGAUUUCCUCGUUCCUCCCUAAGAUUCCCCAAAAAUGUGAGAGCAGUCAUCGGAAUUUCACCAAAGGUAAACACAACACCAACAUUCCUCUACUAUAUCUUAGUAGGGACAGGUUGUCUACUUUCUACAUUAAUCACUCCUAGGUUCGUCGGCUAUGGUUCUAUCACUUCUAGAUUAAUCACCUCUACAUUAGUUCAAGAUGAUGCAUCACUAAUCUCUACGUUGCUCCUAAGAUUGAUAAAGGGAUUCUAUAGUUCUAAGUUUUCUAAAUGGACCAUUAGUGAGAGACUAACCAAAAUCAAAGAACAAAAAGAUAUAAGAAAAUAUGUACAUUUUGCUUUAGUGUAAGUUCUUAAGAUUUAAGAGGGAAGCAAUUUGAUUCAAAUCAAAAGAUUCGGACCCUAAGAAACUUCAACAACAAUGGCAAAAAUCACAAUAAAAAGAAGAGAGAAGUCAUAUAUUGAAGAGUAAAUGCAGUCUAAAAAAUGAAUUUAAAUCCUAAAUUCCCAAAUAAUAAACAUUGAAAGCACCAACAUCAACCGUCUUGAUUCAACAACACAUACCAUCAUCCAAAUUUAUAUAUCCCUCGUUUAUAAAACAUACAUUCAUUCAAAUUUAAGAAAAUGCUCAAAUAUCAAAUUUCACAUCCAAAUCUCAAACAAGGUUGGGGGUAACAUUUCCCAAAUCCCUUCCUCCUGCAGAAAGAAAGUUAUAGGCAGAGGGGACUUCAUUAUGCAUAUCACUUUACAAGGAUUUGGACAUUGUUAAUUGCUAAGAAAAGCACAACGAUGACUACAUGUGUUCCAAGUUUUACUCAAAUAAAUGACACUUAAUCAUGUCUUGUUCAUUUCAAACAUAUUCCUUUUUAUUCUGCAACAUCAAAGUUAAUUAAGUCUAAUUCAUUUCCGCAAAACUCUUAGACCCGAAUUGGGCAGUAGAAAAAACGGUAAUUGUGACAAAUCUUUUUUCAAUUCAAAUCUGUACAUAGAAUGCUAAACCAUGAUCAUGCACAAAGAUGUCGUAAGACUUUGAAUUUUGCCCACAUAAUUCAAAACAAACAGGACCAAUCUACAUAAAACCGUGGAAUUUAUAACAUCAAAUUUGCAAACACUAGGUGGAAAUUACUACAAAUCUUCUAUUAAAUUAUCCUUCAUUCAAAUAAUUAAAGCAAUGAGAAGCAAUUUAACAAGACGAAUAUUUGCCCCACUAUGAAGUUAUAAUACUGCAAGUUCUCCUAUAACCAAUAACAGAGAUUAACAAAUUAAUACACAAGGAUUCAUUUGAUUUAAAAAAAGUUACACGCUAAUUCAGACCUAAUGCUAGCAUAGAUAAAUCUAUAAUAACCACUACAAAUCUCAAGCACUUGUAAACUUAGUGACAGCUUUCGUCCCUUCAGAAACAGCAUGCUUAGCCAAUUCUCCAGGCAGAACAAGCCUGACCGCAGUCUGAAUUUCCCUCGAUGUGAUUGUUGGCUUCUUGUUGUACCUUGCAAGUCUGGAAGAUUCAGCAGCAAGCUUCUCGAAGAUGUCGUUGAUGAAGCUGUUCAUGAUUCCCAUGGCCUUGCUUGAGAUACCGAUGUCAGGGUGAACCUGCUUCAGAACUUUGAAGAUAUAGAUCUUGUAUGUCUCCACAUUCUUCUUGUUUCUCUUCUUCUUCUUGUCUCCGGCGGCGGCACCAGCUUCCUUGGGAAGUUUCUUUCCAGCCUUGGGUUUCUUCUCGGCCGGAGACUUCUCGGCCACCGUAGACUUCUUCUCUUCGACAGGUUUCUUCUCAGCGGGCUUCUUCUCUCCCUUUGGCGCCAUUAGAGAAUUGAGAAUUUGAAACUAAAAUAAAAAUAGGGUUUCGAAUUGGGAAUUGGAAAUCAAAUGUGUUAUGAAUAGUGUUGUUGCGGUGAUUUAUAUAUAUAAGAAGGUUGUCGCGUUGCUAUUGGCCAAUGUGGUUAUUUCCGGAUCGUUGACGUGGAACUCUUUUAGCCGUUACACUCAUUUUUAUAAGGACAUGAUAGUCGACGGUCACUAUUGGCUUUAACUCAGCGAUGAUGAGGGUGCUGUGGGUGACUAGGAUGACGUUGAUACAUGCUUAUUAGAUUGCUAAAAUAAAAUAUACUCCGCAUUUAAAGAUAUUUUUAAAAAAAUCAUCUACACAUAUUUAUACAUUUUUAACAUAAGUUAAAUUAAUUUUUUAUUUUUAUUUUUAAACUCUUUUUUUAAAAAAAAAAUAUUUUAUAUCUAUCUAAAUACAUUUAAAAACAAAAUUUUCAUUUUCAUUAGUACAUCGAAGGAAUGAAGAUCACAAACAUAAUUCUUUUAGAGCAUUUAUCCAUAGAAAUAGUUUUACUUCAGUGAAACCUAAGAAUAAGAUAAAUCUGACACAUAAUCAAAGCUUCAAAACACUUAGGAUUGUCAGAUUUAUAUUUGUAAGGAUCAUUCAACAUAUGUCCAGUUAAACAACUAUAGGGAGUAUAAGGUUUUAGGCCUCUAAAAAUCUUAUAACUUUACUAUAAAAGACAAACGAAAGCUUUGCAUUUAGGUACAUACUAGUUUAAUCAUAAAUAUCUCUCACUUUCGAUUGUCACUCACUUGUCAUCGUAGUAUUUGCAGGUACCCCCUUCCUUCAUUGUCUCUGCUCAGGAGCAUCAAGACACUAAAUCAACUACUUGAGUUCAUAAUUAGAUGUCAAUUCACCGCUUCGCUCAUGAACCAAAUAUGUCUUUUCAAGAAUAAUUGGUGUCGUCUAUGGAACUCGACUUUCGAUGUUUCCACAAUACUCGACAACAAGAUUCAUUGGUGAACAAAGGAAGAAAGAUCGCAACAACGUCAGUGACAAGACCACUCCAUUUUCUAUCAAGUGAGAUCAUCAAAACUGCUCCAAACUCACAUACGAACAUACAAUAUUUCAGUCAUCUCAAGGAGCAUCAAUUCACUUACCUCUACCGCUAGCGGUUUCAACAUUUCCUUCUUUAGUCGAAGGCAUAAUGUUGUUGGUGAGAUUGUUAUCAAUUGAAUGAAUUCAACAAUUACCCCUAAAUAUAUUAGUAAGCGACAAUACUCUGCAUUAUCGACCCCUUUGAGCAAUAUAAUGAAAGGCUUUAAUGGAUUGAAGUGUCAGUCUCAACAAGCAAAUCCCCAUGAAGGACCGGAUCGGGUUUGAUAAGAGUCAAUGACGAAACACUUACAUUCAACGAGAAGGAUCUAGAGGAAUCAUCAUGUCCUCUUGACCCUAGAUCCCACUCCCUAAACCCAAGGAACCUUCAUCGUCUAGUCCCAAAGACCAUAAUCUUUGUCACAACCGGCACCACGGGAAUUUUUCACCAACUUCCUUUUUAUAAGAAAUUGGGUAAGGCGAGGAUACUCCUAAAAGGGAAUUUUCCCCCUUAGAACAAAAAUACCCCUUUAUCUCUUGUCUUUAUUAUAUAUUAUUGGUUUUCCAUCUAUCUUUUUAUUUUGUUGCAUAAUUACUUAUUUGUUUCUCCAAAAUAUUACCAAACUCUAUUUUUCCAAAUGAUUUAGUUUUCAACCAAUAUUUUCUAAACCUCCAUAUCUCCCCCUCCCCCUUCUUGUUUAUGAAGUCAUGUGUUCAACAAGUGGAAUCAUAGUCUAACUCAUGUUCAAAGACUAAUCAUCUCUAGAGGAAGAUGACUUCAAACACUUCUUAUAACAAGAUGAAUUUCCUUAACACACCUUCAUCGUUUAAUGGUAAUAUGUUUGUUAUAUGAAAAGUUAUAUUUAAAAUGUUCAUUGAAAGCUAUAAUAAUAAAUUGUGGAAAAUGAUAGUCAAUGGUCCGUUUAUUCCUACUCACUAUGUUAACGGUGAAGUAGUAUAUAAACGUGGGUUCCUUUUGACCAAAGAAAACAAGACAAAGUUCAAACUUAAUUUUAAAGAUAAAAACUUUUUUGUUAUGACUUUAAGUGAAAAUCAAUUUCUUUAUGUCCUUAAAUGUAAAUCCGCAAAGGAAGUGUGGGACACUCUUGAAAAGAUAUACAGAGUGUCUCUAAGUAUCGGACAAGAGAUAAUUAACACAUGAGUCUAAUAAGUUGAAUCACUAGAUUAAUAUGAAGAUUUACUUCAUAUAUGGUGUUCAACCACUGGAAAUAUUGGAAGACAUGAUAGAACUUUUGUAGCUAACAAAUAUCUAAUAAUUAAUAAUUGAAAUCAUAAAUUUGAUCCAAUCCUUAAAUCAAGAAUAGAGAUGUUUAUGAUUUUCAGGAAAAAUCUAGAAAGGGAGAGAUCUUUGAAAAGCUUAACAAAUUGAUACAAGUAUUAAAGGAUGAAAGAAUGAGCUCAUAAAUCCUAGAAAAUUCAUUGAAGAAAAAUUAUUUUUGAAGAAAAAGAAGAAAAAGAAGAAUAGUAAACUUCAAUAGUUUUAUUUGAAAGAACAAUAUCAAUUGACGAACGAUCCUCAGAAAUUUCAUUGUCUAGUAAUGAAACAACUUCAAUAAGGACGGUGUUUCGCCAAAUCUCAGUAUGGUGCCCAUUUGUUGAGUCAACAUGUGGAUCAUUUCAUAAUUAUUUUCGUUCAUUUGUUGUCUUAUGACUGCGACAGAACUUGACGUGAAAGUUGGGAUUGACUGAGAUGACAAUCCAAAACCUGGGGGUCGACCGAGUUGGCUUGCCAAAGGUCCUAACCCCUGGUUUCGUGGGAAUGGCGAUGACGAUGUUUCGCCAAAUGUCGAACCGAAAUUAUGCAUACUUGCCAUAAACUCGGUUGGCAUUCCCAACAUUCUGUGCAUGGGGACUGUGAAACUGGGCAUAUAUUGCCCAGAAGUUUCCAUCGUUGUUGGCGUCAGCGUUUGAGGCUGACGCAGUGUUAGAAUCGGCCCACUAUACACAGUCAAAACCGCAAGUAUAGCGCUGGAACCAACAUCGGUUGUUUGUGACGCAAUUGUGUCUUCCGCCAAAGACAUUUCUUCGUGUGGUCGUGGUGAGAUCAUCUUACCACUACGUAGUUUCAUAUACUGAACAUUUCGGGUCUCACCAGGUGUGCCAAUUUGUUUCUCGCGACAAUCUCUAGCUUUUCUAUUUAAGAUUUACUUGCAUGACCGGCUACAAAGUCCUAGACUUAUAUGUGUUGAGUGUAUGACUAUUUCGUUGAUAAAGUGUUUAGAAUACUUUUGGGUAGUAAGUGCAAUAUUUUGCAAAUUAGAAAUGGAAUAAAAGGCAAAAUACUGAUGUAAAUGAACAAAGCAAAUAAAAGUAAUUUGGCAAGUUAAAUGACUUGAAGAUAAAAAUGGAAGCAAAAGUACAUUUUGUAGGAAGAUAACUUUUUUCUCUCAAACACUUCAUACUUCAAGUGUAUUCCUACUGCAAUGUUAAAAAUAUCUCCCUCAUAAAUGAAAAUUACAUCUACUUAAAUAUUAGCAAAAAAUAAUUGUUGGGAGAUUACGACCCAUUUAUGAGAUGACAUGUGUCGGGCAUAUCUCUCACGUUUGCUGGUAACUUCUCACGUUCAGCUUCCCACGAUUAAUCCCUACCAUAGUAAGCGGACCUUUUCGACUUUGACAGACUUCCCCUUUCGUCAAUCCAGCGCUCUUGGCUCUCCGCCUCGUCAAUCCAGCUUUCGAGUGUCCUUUGGUCGACCCUAUUUUAUACCUCUUGGGUUGAAAUUUGCCAGCUAAUAUAAUGUUAUUCUUGUAUUCACACCAAUGUUUGAAAACUUUCACAUAAACUAACUCUUUGGGUCCAUGUGAGGGAGAAAUCCUAAAUGAUAUAGAGUUCCAAAUUCAAAGUCAUUAAAUGGAAGGACAAAUCACAUUCUAGAGAACAAACAUUUGUAUAGAGGUAGUCCAUACAUUCCAUAUCGGUUAUAUUAUCGCUUACCAUUUUUUGUGUGGAUUACUUCCCAAUUUGAAAACGGACCAACAUCUCUGUGAAAAAAGAUCCAUACCAAGACGAGUUACGGAGUUUUCUUCGUCUACCUAUAGAUAUUGAUCACCAUCAUCGAUAAGAUCAAUAGUCAAUGCUUUCUCCCCGUGUUCGUUUCGUUGUCAAUGGAUAUAAACUACCUAAUGUGAGUAUUAGGUCUUGAUAGUUCCUCUAAUCACCUAUUAAUCUCACCCUGGGUAACCUCGUAAUGGAACAGACGCCUUAUACACAUAGCAACAUUUUGAUUCACUUUCUAGGUUAGUCACUCUUAGGUUUGUCGCCUCAGGCUCUUCUGUGACUUCUGGUUAAUCACCUCCACCUCAGUUUAAGAUGAUGUAUCACUAAUCGCUACUAAAAUAAAUGAAAGGAUUACGUGUUCUGAGAUUUCUAAAUUGGCCAUUAAGUUGGACAUUAGUGGGAGACUAACGAAAAUCAAAGAAUAGCGAGAUAAGAAAACAACUACCUUAAUUUGAUUGUAUCGUAUCUUUCAAUUAUAAUUUGAUUGUAUCAAAACAUCCACAAUUAUCGAAACAUAAUUCUAAAAUCCAUCAAAAUUUGGAUCAAAAUUAAUGCUCUGGUAUCAAAUUUCGCAUACAAAUCUCAAACAACAUGGUCGGAUACGUUUUACCAAACCCAAUGCUCUUGCAGAAGUGAAGUUACAGGCAUAGAGGGGACUUCAUAAACAAUAUGACCAGUAUGGUUGAAAUUUAGAUACCCGGGGAAUUUAUAAACAACAAAUUUGUAAACAAAUAGACUAGGGUGAAAAUUUCAACACCAUUUAAGCUCUUUAAUUCAAAAAAUUUAAGACGAACAUACCCCAUUAUAAACUUAUAAUACUGAAAAAUCAUACAUAACCAAAAACAAGAGGAUUGAUUUGAUUUUAAAAGAAAGUUACACACUAAUUCAGACCUAAUUCUAGCACUUAUACAAAAUUCAAGCACUUGUAAACUUAGUGACAGCUUUCGUCCCUUCAGAAACAGCAUGCUUAGCCAAUUCUCCAGGCAGAACAAGCCUGACCGCAGUCUGAAUUUCCCUCGAUGUGAUUGUUGGCUUCUUGUUGCUCUGUUGUACCUUGCAAGUCUGGAAGAUUUUCUCGAAGAUGUCGUUGAUGAAGCUGUUCAUGAUUCCCAUGGCCUUGCUUGAGAUACCGAUGUCAGGGUGAACCUGCUUCAGAACUUUGAAGAUGUAGAUCUUGUAUGUCUCCACGCUCUUCUUGUUUCUCUUCUUCUUCUUGUCUCCGGCGGCGGCACCGGCUUCCUUGGGAAGCUUCUUUCCGGCUUUGGGUUUCUUCUCGGCAGGAGACUUCUCGGCCACCGUAGACUUCUUCUCUUCAACAGGUUUCUUCUCAGCGGGCUUCUUCUCUCCCUUUGGCGCCAUUGAGAAUUGAGAAUUUGGAACUUUGAAGAAAAAUUAGGGUUUCGGAUUGGAUAUUAGAAUUGGAAAUCAA